UCGUCGAUCCUCAAAAAAAGAAAUAAGCAAAGUUCCGUCGUUGAGUGAGAAAUGGAAAAUUCAUGGAAAGUUACAAUCCUCACCGCGAAAUAGUGCACCUACACGUCUUCAUCGACGUUGCUUUUCGACCGGAAGAUCGAGAGCUAACUAUCGAGACUUUGGACUAUCCGGACACAUACUUCGUGAAAUGGUUCACACAUGUUUGUUGCCGGGGGCAACAAGAUCGAGUUGGUAAGGAUUAAAAUAUCCCUUCAUUUUUCUAUUUAUUUCUAUGAUCGAUGAUCAUAGAGGGGCCCCUUUACCAUUCUGUAUAAUGUAUAAAUAGGCUAUUAUAUUUGUACAUAUAUGGAAGAGGGGCGCAUUCAAUCUUUGUUUGUCCAUUAGUUUGGUUUCUUUUCAUCGCGGGAUAGAGCAGUUUGGUAGCUCGCAAGGCUCAUAACCUUGAGGUCAUGGGUUCAAAUCCCGUUCCCGCAACAUUUUUUUGACAAAAAAAAUUAGACUUGACUCUAUUAACUAGUAAUUUUUUCUUUUAGGGGGUGUAUUAUAUUACAAUUACAAUUACAGUCAACUAUUUAUAGUCAACUAUAACGAAUCUUUUAUCCUCUUAUCUUAGAUACAUUGCCCUGGGCGGAUAGCGGGAAUCGAACCCGCGUCUUCUCCUUGGCAAAGAGAAAUUUUACCAUUCGACUAUAUCCGCAUUUUCGUUCUUGAUUCUUGAUACGAAAGAAUAUUUGGUCAGAGCUAGGACAGAUACUUUCUUCAGUUCAGGGCGAUUUUAUCAAAUUCCACUACUAAACCAAUUAACAAUCUAAAUUAUAUAACAAUUCAAAUGAUUAUCAAUUAAUCAAAUUACAAGUUAUUAUCAAUUAUUAUCAAUUAUUAUUAAGUUAUAUUAAUUUAUAUUAUUUGUUAUUAAUGUUAUUAAUAUUCAUUUAUAUUUUUAUAUUAUUAUAUUUUAAAAUUUAAAAUUUAUUUAUUUUGUUAUAUUUUAUUUAUUUUAUUUGUUAUAUUUUAUUUAUUUUAAUAUUAUAUUUUAUUAUUAUAUCUAUUAUUAUAUAUUAGUAUUUAUAUAUUUAGUAUUUAUAUAUUUAGUAUUCAUAUAUUUAGUAUUCAUAUAUAUAUAUAUAUAAUUAUAUCUAAAUUAUUAAAUUAUUCAUUUUUAAAAUAUUAUUAUUUAUAUAAAAUAUUAUUAUUUAUAAAAUUAAUAAAUAUUAUUAUUAUUUAUAUUUAAUAAAAAUAAAUAAGAUAUUUAAUAAAUAAGUAUAAUAAUUUAUAUUUAAUUUAAGUAUUUAAUUUAAGAAUUUAUAUUUAAUUUAAGUAUUUAAUUUAAGUAUAAUAAUAAUAAUUUAUUAAUUUAAUUAAUUGAAUAUUUAAUAAUUUAUAAUUUCAUUUUUUUUUUUUAUGAUUUCUAUUUUAUCAUUUUCUUUUCAUUUAUCAUUCAAAUUCUAUUUAUUUCAUUCAAGUUACAGAUUACAGAAGUUUGACUGACCCCCCCCUCUAAUUUUUUUUUUUUUUUUUAUUUUGGCAACUUAUACUUCUAUAUUAUUUUAUUGAAUUUUGAAUUUGAAUGUGUCUCAAAAUCUGAAAAAUUCGUGGGAGGGGUCAUUUUUGGAUCCAGAAUGGAUAGAUUCAAGAAAUAAGAGAAUUAAGGAUACCCACUAGAAAAACUAAUCCAAUCCAUAAAGAUGUACCGGAAAAUACAAUAUUUUUGUUACUCAACCAACCAUCAGGAGAAGCAAAUACAACAGGUACACUAAUCAGUAAGAUUGACGAAGUAGCAAUUAAUGCAAAAACAGCCAAUUGGAAAGCAAUAGUCAUGUUUCUAAUCCUCCAAGCUACCAACAAAAGAACUAUACCAUUUGAUCCCUCUAUCAUAUCGACAAAAAAAAUUAAUAAAAUGCGGGGUAGAAUAGAGGGAUUUUACCAUGAAUCGAUUAAUUCUAUAUGACUUAUUUCCAACCCUUUACCGCUUUUAUUCGGACAUGGGGUCGAGGGUGAUUUUUUUAUUUCACGUUCACAAAUAGACAUGCUAGAUCAUGCAUUUCAUAUAUCUAUAUAUACAGAUAAAUAGAUCGACCUAUAGGUUCACACACGAUAUCUUUCUAUACAUAGUGAUGGUAUCAACUCAUAUGGCCAUGUUCGAUUCGGUGGAAUAAAAAUAAAAUAGAAAUUAGCUUUCGGAGAGAUGGCUGAGUGGUUGAUAGCUCCGGUCUUGAAAACCGGUAUAGUUCGAAACAAAGAACUGUCGAGGGUUCGAAUCCCUCUCUCUCCUUUUGCUCGAUGAAUAGAUUUCUUUAUUUGGUAGUAAAACACCGAUCCCCCUGUUGAGAUCUAAUUCGAUCUUCAUAGAUUUCGCGAGAUAUUUUCUUACGAAGUUUUGUUAUAGCAUCUAUAACUGCCUCGGGUUUAGGGGGACAGCCCGGCAAAUAGACAUCCACAGGAAUUAGCUUAUCGACUCCCCGAACAGUACUAUAAGAAUCAGUACUGAACAUCCCUCCUGUAAUUGUACACGCGCCCAUAGCAAUAACAUAUUUAGGUUCGGGCAUUUGUUCAUAUAAUCUCACUAAAGAGGGAGCCAUUUUCAUUGUUACUGUUCCAGCUGUUAAAAUUAGGUCCGCUUGUCUAGGACUCGAUCUUGGGACCAGCCCAUAACGAUCAAAGUCGAAUCGUGAGCCUAUUAAUGAAGCAAAUUCAAUGAAGCAACAACUGGUACCAUAAAGAAGCGGCCAUAAACUGGAGAGUCUUAUGAACAAAUAAAGAAGUCAUAAUUUCAUAUACAAUUAUUUAACUUUCUAUUUAAAUAACAAUAAUAUUGUUUUUACUAUAGAUAAAGAAUCUAUAAAAAUACCUUUAGUAAAAAAUCAUAAAUAUAUAUACGAUUCUGAUUUUUGACUUGAAACCAAGAAAAUGAAAAUUAAAUUAAUUAGUGAAAUACAUUGAUUAUAUAAAAUUUUAAAAGAAAAUUUUAGUGAGGAACCAUUAAAAUUAUUGCCUAGAAGUCAUUGUUUUUAUAGUUUAAAAACUCUUGAUUCAACAAAAAAAAUUAGGGUAAAACCAAUGAUCUAUACUAAAUAAGAUAUAGAUGAAUUUAAUAUACAAAUUAAUGAACUUUUACAAAAAAGACUUACAGAACCCACUACUAAUCCACUUUCAAGUCCAGCAUUUAUGGUAAGAAAUCAUGUUGAACAAAAAAGAGGAAAAGCCAAAAUGGUAAUCAACUAUAAAAGACUUAAUCAAAAUUUAAUAUUUGAUGAAUAUUUUAUUCCUAGAAAAGAUCUGUUACUAAACUUAACAAAAAAUGCUAAAUAUUUUAGUAAAUUUGAUUGUAAAUUAGGGUUUUGGCAAAUAAUGCUAAUCGAAUAAUCAAAAUCAUUUACAGAUUUUAGUGCACUAAAAGGCCAUUAUUAGUGGAGAGUCAUGCCCUUUGGACUUUGUAAUGUUCCACAAAUUUUCAAAGAUGGAUGGACACCAUUUUUUAGAAAUAUAAAGAUUUUUUGUGGAACAUAUUAAUGAUAUACUUAUAUUUUUUAAAACAUUAAAUGAGCAUAGAAAAUACCUAAAUCCUAUAGCUCAAAAUUUAUAAAAUAUGGUAUAAUGUUAAGUCCUAAAUAGAUAGAGCUUGAAAAAACUAAUAUAGAAUUCCUACGAUUAAAUUUAUCUUCAGAUGGUCUUACCUUACAAGAUCAUAUUAUAGUAAAAAUCAAAGAAUUUCCAAAAUAAUUGGAAGAUGAAAAAUAACUUUAAAAUUUUCUAGGUCUUUUUAAUUAUGGAAGACAAUUCAUUAAAAAUAUCUCUAAAAAAGAGAAAGUUUUACAAGAAAAACUAAAAAAAGAUAUAAGUUUUUCUUGGACAAAAGACAAUUAUGAUAUUAUUAAACAAAUAAAAUCAUAUAUUAAAUUUAUACUUAAAGUAUAUUUUCUUGAACCAAGAGAAUUACUCAUUCUUGAAACAGAUGUUUCAAACCAACAUUGAGGAUGUGUACUUAAAUCAAAGGUACAUAAUCAAGAAUUAAUUUGUAGUUAAAAUUCAAAAAAAUUUAAACCUAAUGAGAUAAAAUAUAUUUUUUCGACAAAAAGUUACUAGCAAUAAAAAAUACAGUAACAAGAUUUUAUAUUUAUUUAGCACUUGAAAUUUUAUUAUUAGAACAGAUAAUCAAGCUGUUAAAAACUUAUUAAAAAAUAAGAAAUCAAAAACUAAUCCUAAAAGAAUUAGAUGAUAUAAUUUUUUAUGCCAAUAUAAUUUCUCUAUUGGAUUUAUUAAAGGAUCUAAUAAUGUUUUUGCUUAUUUUUUGAGUAAACCGAUGGAUAGAGGCAAAAAACCUCUUCAGCAACAAAAAUAAUGGAUCACCAUUCAUAAGAAGCAAUCUAAACAAAAGAUUUCUUCUCAAAAUCCUAAUCCAAGAUUAUCAUAUCCUACUCCUUUUAUACCACCAAUCCUUUAUCCUAAUCCAGGAUAUUUUUAUUCUCUUCAAACAUAUUUUUCUUUUUCACAACCUUCAUUACAAUCAGUAAUUAAACCUAUUCAAGUUCCUAAGAUUUCUCAAUUUUCAAAGGAUCCAAACCAAUGAACACCUAUUUCAUAUUCUGAAGCUCUUAAAAGAACUGUGGAAUUUCUUAAGCUAAGGCAACCUCUUCUAGAAAUAAAAUUUUUUUAUAAUCUAGGCUUACCCUCUGAAUUAUAUAAUCUACUUAAUAAUGUAUGAAAAGCCCAUAUAUUUGAAAGCAAAACUAAUUUUAGAAGAAACAUGACAAAAUUAGCAUAAGUUUCAGCUAAUAGAACGGAACAAUAAGCUCAAUUUCAAGAACUUGUAUUCAAAAUAAUGUGUAUAAGUAACUUACUAAAAGAGCAAGAUCUAGACUUUUUUGCUAUUGAUGAAAAUCAAUACUCUCUUAAAGAGAUAAACAAUCUUUUAGAACUUUGUGAAUUCUUUGAAAAACAAAAAUUUCCUUUAAAAAAUUAAAAUUAAAGAAAAUUUUAAUGUUUGAAAAAGCUACAAUUCUCUUACCUAAAGAGAUAUUUCAAAAUGUAAAUAGUACUAUUCUUCUUGAAAUAGAAAAAUUAUUACAAGAAAAAUUUGCAUAUUUUAAUUUUCAAAAAGACAAUUCUAUGAUAUAUCUUGAAAAUACUUGAAUAAAAGAAUCAUUUUCAAAAAUAAAAUUUAGACUUGAUCAUGAACCAUUCGAUAUAACAAGUAUCGAAAUUGGAUUAGUAAGCCAAAUAGUUGUACAAAAAUUUUCUUUUCAUUUGAUAAAACAAUUUCCUACUUUUAUUAAAUCAAAAUUUAUUGAUUUUAUAAAAAAUUAUCAAUAUUUUUGCUAUAUUCAUUUUAGUAUUACCAGCCUACUUGGGAUUUAUGAAAGAAAAAAAUUUAUCUGACCCUAUCAAAUAUGGAAAAUUUAAAAAAUCAAUGAGAAUUUUAAACAGCUUAAUCAAUCUUUAAGGAAGUUCUCAUCUCUUAAUCAAUAUCAAUUCCAAAUAGGAAUAUUUAUGAUGGACAAAGCAAAAACCUUGUUAUGAAAUAAUAAAAUCUCAAUAUCCUCAGAUCUCUGCUUCAACAAAUGGCCAUAGAAUCUUUAUUCAAAGAUCCUAUAAUGAAAAAAAGACUGCCACUAAUUGAACCAUAAGCAGUGAAUCUUUUGGAACAUUUAUAAAAAAUGAAAGACAUAGACCAUCAUCAAUAUUUAUUAUUCUAAUACCAAGAAAGAUGAAACAUCUGGAACAAAACCAAGACUAUCAUUCAACUCGAAUGAUGAAGAAUUAAUAAAUCUUGAUAAUAUCCAAGAAGGAUAAGAUAGCUUGCAAAAUCAGUAUCAACAAGAUGAACAAAGAAAACAACAAGUCAUCAAUUACUACUAAAAAGAUAGAUAUAUUUAUUAUAGUAUAAAUUAUUGUCAUCUUUUGUAAAAGUCAAAAGUUGCUUUCAUUAUGAUCAAAAAUAGGUACUGACAAUUAGUUCCCUACUCUAUAUGUAUUAAUAAUUUGUUACAUACUCUAAUUAAUGAAGGAGAACAUUUGUAUUAUAAAGGCCGAUGGGAUAAAAUGGAAAGGGAGAAACUUCCUUCACCAUUUUUCUUUUUCCUUUGCUCUAUCUCUAUCUCCUAUACAUCUUUCUCUCACUUUUCUCACCUGUAAAUUGUCUCUCAUCUGUAAUUGGUAUUAACCCUAUAAAAAAGUUGGUAAAGAAUCUUGUAUAUCAUAGAUUGUACAAAUUGGUAUUAAGAUAUAUAUAUAUAUAUAUAAACUUUCUAUUUGAGAUAUCUAGAUCCCAUCUAUUAUUGUAAGUAUUUUUUUACUGUUGCAGCUUUUAGUUUUAAUCUUUAUGUUCUAAAACCUAUAUAUUUGUUUACUAUUUCUAUGUUAGUGUUAUGGCUUUGUUGUGGCCUUUACAUUUAGCUUUAGAGAUCUUUAAAAGGUAUAUAGUUGAUUUUAGAUAUAAGAACAUGGAGCAAAAUAUUAAAAAUUAUAUUUGUUUAGAAAAACCUUAUAAUCAUAGUUUACAUGUGGAUCUCCAAUUAGAAAAUCAUAUACUGGCAAUCAACCAUAGUAUUAAUGGAUUAGUAGAUUUAUCUACUACUUUUUUAAAAAAAAUUAUUUAAUAAAGUUGACAUAUUAGAAUAAAAAAUAGAUAAUUUAGGAUAAGUGACUAGUAACUAAGAUUAUAAACAAUUAUUAGUAAAUAUUAAUCAAAAACUAGAAUUGUUAGAAGUUGAUAAAAGUCAAACAAAUGACUUUGGACCCUUAUACUAUGGUAAUACUAUUCUUACUCUUAAUGAUAAUAAACCAUCAUUUUCUCAACCACCUAAUUUUUUUUAAAGUAGAAAAAUUAGAUUUUAAAUCUUAUAGAAUACCUUAAAUAUAAAAUGCAAAAAACCAUUUAUCUUAAAAAAAUGAUUGAUUAUUUGACUAUGAUAGAAGAACUAUAUAAAACUUUUUUAAAAGUUUAAUUAUCAUUAUAUGCUUAAUUAUGAUACUACUGAUGAAAGUAGCUCAAAUGAAGAAGAUAAAGGAAAAGAUAAAAUUUUAACUACUAAUCUAGUAGUAAAAAAUAAAAGUCUUAGUAUAGAAUAUUCAUCCUUUGCAGAAGUAAAUGAAUAAUAGAUACUAAGCGUACACUUAUGGACCUUGAUCAACAAAAAGUUGAUAAGGGGAAAAAGAAAAGUAGAAGAAAUUUCUAACCAUGAAAUUUGAUGAUAAAAAUAGGUUUGAUAAUAAAACUAAAAAUAAUAUUUAUAAAGAUGAAAUCAAACAAACAAGAACAUCUUCCAGAAUUGUUACCAACCUAUACAUAAUCUAGUUUUAUAAAAUCUUUAAACAAAAGAAUGUAGCUCAAGGAUGAACAUAUUUAGAUUUUUCAAAAAUAUCUAUAAAUGACCAUGGAAAAACCAUAAAAGAUUGGGCACAAUCUAUGACUAUUGUUGUAAACAACUACAAAGACACCUAGUCUAAAGAAAAUUUUUUAAAUUAUUUUUAUGAAACAUUUUAAAGAGAUGUUUUACAAUUUUUGCGUAAAUGAAAAACUUCAAAAUAGGAAAAGCUUAAAAAAAAUUCCUUCAUCAUUUCUUUUAUUCCUUUACUAUAUGUUUUACCUUUUUAUCACCAUCUGGAGUGUUACAUGUCAGAUUCCCAUUUUUUCUUUCCUUUGGGUUCCUUUUGAUGUUCUAUUUUGCAAUUUGGUUGUAAUUAUGACAUUUUUGGAUUAUGGUUCUGCAGAUUGUAGGUUUUGGAUUUUUUUGUCAACUUCAAUGCUGAUUAUAUAUCUUUUUAGUCUUUUUUUCUUGAAUUUUUUUACAGUUAAUUGGUUUUGAUUUUUUUACCAGGUAUUUUUUAUAUAUAUUAUGUUUUCAUAAUGGUGGUGCUUCCAUCAUGUCUUUGUCAUCAUUUUAGGUAUUAUUUUGGUGAAUAAUUUUCUGAAGCACAUUGAGGUAAUGUAAUUAAAUUUCAACCCUUUUGAUUGUUUAAUUUUUUUAUUUUCAUUAAAGUUUGCAGUUAUAGUUUGUAACUAGUUGUAAAUAAAGAAAAAAAUAUUGAUCUUCAACUUGGUUUGGAGAAAUCUGAUAGAGAUAGUGGAAUAGGUAGUGGUUGUGCGAACAAGCUCAAUCAUCAUGUUCAAAGUUGCAGCAUCAAUAACAUAGUAUAAAGAAAAUUGGUAAAAUUAAUCAUUUUUUCCUUUGUUUUCCUGAAAAAAUUCCCUUAUCUCCAUGUAUUGCUAAUUUAAAGUUUUAUUUUUUUUUUGCAUUCUCAAGCACAAUUUGGUUCUUUACCUUUGUCGAUGCCAAUGGCUACUUAGCUUGGUGGACUUUCUCCAAUGGUGUAUAACUAGGUUGAUUUGAUAUUUAUUUUGUGAUUUAUUAGUAUUAGCAAAUUUGAACCAAUGGUUUAGAUGUUAUAAUUGGGGGAAAUGACUUUUUCUUUUCCUAAGCAGAUAGAUGAUGCCUUUACAAGGUGUUGUGUCUAUGGAUGAGAGUGCAAUAUCUUCUACAGCUUUUCAGGCAUGUCAAUGUGUUCUUUAUAUUCACAGGUUUUGGUUUUUUUUCUUUUUUUGUCUAAUUUAUGUAGAAAUUUUCAAGUUUUGUAGCCUUUACAUUUGCUUUUUACUCAACCAAGGCCAAAAAGAUGUGCAACCCAUUGCUACAUUGCUCGGAACAUACACUAUUACUAGUAAUUCAUUAAGAUGAAUUCUUUCUGGCCAACAACACCUAGCUUAGCUUCACUCUAUUGGUUGAAGGCUUGCAAUCUAAAUGUUGUGCCCCUUUCACGAUGGCAUGAAAACAAUCUUGCGAGAGGUGUGAAUUCUGUACAAGAUAAGGUUUAACAAUUUUUCGUGGUUAUGUUGGCAAAGAUAAAAGUUGUCAAGUUGUUGCCAACAUGGUGGAUGCUACACAGAGAAAGCACAUACAUCUCUAGCAAGCUUAUUUUAAGGUGAUUAAUUCCAUAGUUAUUUUUUUUUUAAUUUAUCUUAAAAUUUGACUUUUGCAACCUCUACAGUUUUAAGGUGAUUAAUUCCAUAAUUUUCAAGGUAAAGUCCAAGUUUGUGAUAAUUCCAUAAUUAUAUCUUGAUAAAUUUUUUAAAAUUUUACUUUUUGGUGUAUUCAAUUUCAACACGAUCUUACCCUGACAUUUUCAAGGUGAUUAAUUCAACCCUAUUUUUUGUAACCUCUUUUUUGAUAUUUAAAGAAAAUUUCAAAGUUUAGACUACUAAAGAAAUGUUUUUUCUUUUCUAAUUUGCAAUAAAUGGGGCAUGCAUUUCAGCAAAAAGAAGUUCAUGGCAGCAAAUGGGUAGAAUCGAAAAGCAUUGAGCAUUAUUAAUCGAAACAUAGUUACAAGUGCACCUUACCCUGGUGUAAUCAACCAAAAACUUUUAUUUGAGUGAGUUCUUUCUUACAUCCUCCCUUUGUUUGGUUGUUAAAAAUAGAAAAAAAAAUAGAUCUUUUUAAGUUAGCUUAGAUUUUGUUUUUAAUUCCUAAAUGAGAUUGAAAAAAUGAUGUAUAUGAGAAGUGGGGUUUGGCUUGGUACUUAAUGGUCCAAAAAGGAAACUUUUUUUCAUUGUUAGAAAAUAGUUUUCUAUUGUUUUCUUUCUCAUCAACAAGAAAUUAAAGUUCUAUUCUCAAGGCAUAGUUUUGAUAUUCUUUGCUACCUUUUUCUCUUUUUAGAAAAAUGUAGUAUGUGAUAAGAUUCCUAUAAUACCUCUACAUAAAGUAAUUGUCAUGGGCUGAGACUUAAUCUUCAAGCUUACAUAGCUCUAAGACCCAGACAUGGACUCAUCCGAUAUCUCAAAUCAAUCUAACUAUCACGAUUCAUACCCUUGUAAGGUAUUGUUCACUUCAGCUCGCCUUUGACCUCACAAUUUUAUCCAACAAAAGGCGUUUCAUUAAAAAGUGGUGGUGUGAACCUUUUUAUCCUAUGAUCAAUUCUAGUACACAAUUGAUGUGGGAUUCAUGGCUCCUCUCUAGGACCGUGACAUCUUUUUUCACUCCAAUGAGAGCCCACCAUCUUUAAUGACACAUCUUUAGUACCCUAGAGUUGGCUUUGAUACCACUUGUCAUAGGCUGAGACUUAAGCUUUAGGCUCGCAUUACUCUAGAACCUAAGCAUAAACUCAUUCGACACCUCAGAUCAAUUUAACUGUCACAAUUCAUACCCUUGUGAGGUAUUGUUCAUUUUGGCCCUCCCUUGACCUCACGAUUUUAUCUCAUAAAAGGCUCAUCACAAAGAGAAGUUGGUGUGAACUCUUAUAUCCCAUGACCAACUCUAAUACAUAGUCGAUGUAAAAUUCAUGGUUUCUCUCUAGGAUCUUGGCAUCCUUUUCCACUUCAAUGAAAGCCUACUGCCCUUGAAAGCACAUCAUUAAUACCCUCAGAGCUGGCUCUGAUAUCACUUGUCACAGGCUGAGAUUCAACCUUCAAGCUUGCGUGGCUUCAAGACCUGAGCAUGGACUCAUCUGAUAUCUUAAAUUAGUCUAACUAUCAUAGUUCACACCCUUGUGAGGUAUUAUCCGCUUCGAUCCUCUCUUGGCCUCAAGAUUUUAUCUCACAAAAUAUGCCUAACAAAGAGAUGGUGGUGUGAACCUUUUUAUUUCAUGACUAACUCUAGUACACAGUCAAUAUGAGAUUUAUGACUCAUCUUUAGACCGUGACACAAUGACUUGGUUAGUAACUUUUUUCUUUUAAUUUUAUGAUGUAUGUUUUGAUUGACAAAAUAUAUCUUCUUCUUUAUCCUUUUGCUUAUAAUUUUUUCUAAUAAAAAAGUUUGUUGCCUAGAUGGAUAACAAGUAGCAAAUUAAACUUGAGGUAUCAUUUUUUACAAUAAAAAAACUUUGGUAUUAUCCUUAAUUAUUUAGUCAUGUUAGGCUAAUGGUUAGUUAUACUAAUAGGAAAUUAAAAAACCAAUCCAGUCAAUGUCAGUUUCCAAUGAAUCUGAAGAUUGCACCAUCAUAGAUGUGGAUGAUUCAAAUAAGAGUGGUAACCUUAAUGUGCCAAUAUUUGUGCAACACAUAAAAGCUAUGCUAAAAGAGAUUGAUUGAAUGAUAUGGGACACUUUCCUUUACUGAUCUUUUUAUUUAGAAUAGCAUUAAUUCUGCCUUCUUUGUAAGAAAAGGUUGAAAUGGAAGAUGUGGAUGAAAAGCCUUUUCUAGACAUUGACAAUUUUGAUAAAAGGAAUCCGCUUGCAGUUGUUGAGUACAUUGAUGAUUAUACAAAUUAUAUAAGAGAGGUGUGAAUUAUGUACAAGACAAUGGGUAGGGUCUAGCAAUUUUUUGUAGUCACGUUGGCAAAGAUAAAAGUUGUCAAGCUGUUACCAACUUGGUGGAUGUUGCAUAAAGAAAACAAAUAUUACUCCAGCAAGCUCAUUUUCAAGGUGAUUAAUUCCAUAAUUUUUUUUUCUUUUUUUUUCUAAUUUAUCUUGAAAUUUUAGACUUUUGCAGCCUUCACAUUUUCAAGGUGAUUAAUUCCACAAUUUUCAAGUUGAUUAAAUAAAAUCACAUUUUCAAGGUGAAGUCCAAGGUUGUGAUAAUUCCAUAAUUAUAUCUUGACAAAUUUUUUAAAAUUUUGCUUUUUGGUUUACUCAAUUUCAGUAUAGCUUGGCUUUUAUUUUCCCAUUGAGAACAAUCCUAGAGUCAUUGGACCUUCACAUUUUCAAGGUGAUUAAUUCAACAUCAUUUUUUGAAACCUCUGUUUUGAUGUUUAAAUAAAAUUUCAAAUUUAAAGUACUAAAAAAAUGUUUUUUCUUUUCUAAUUUGCAAUAACAAGGGGUGUGUAUGCCAAUGAAGGGAAGUUCAUGCUAACAAAUGGGUAGAAUAAAAAAGAAUUGAGCACUAUUAAUCGAAACAUAGUUACAGGUCUACUUUACCCUUGUGCAGUCAACAAAAGACCUUUAUCUAAGUGAGUUCUUUCUUACAUCCUCUCUCUAUUUGGUUGUUGAGAACAAAAAAGAAAGUGGAUUUUUUUUAAGUUAGCUAUUGUAGGUUUGGUUUCUAAUUCCUGAAUGAGAUUGAAUAAAUGAUGCAUACGAGAAGUAGGGUUUAUCUUAGUACUCAAUGGUCCAAAAAAGAGACUUUUUUCAUUGUUAGAAAAUAGUUUUCUAUUGCUCUCUUUCUCAUAAGCAAGAAAUUAAAGUUUUAUUCUCAAGGCACGGUUUUGAUAUUCUUUGUCCACUUUUUUCUCUUUUUAGAAGAAAUGCAGUAUGUGAUAAGAUUCCUGCAAUACUUUGCAUAGACCAAUGACAAAGUUAGUAACUUUUUCUUUUAGCUUUAUAAUGUAUGUUUUGAUUACCAAAAUAUAUCUUUUUCUUCAUCCUUUGGCUUAUAAUUCUUUCUAAGUUUGUUGCCCAGAUGGCUAACAAGUAGCAAAUCAAACCUGAGGUACCAUUUUUUUGCAAUGAAAAAAUUUUGGUAUUAUCCUCAAUUAUUCAUUCAUGUUAGACUAAUGGUUAGUUAUACUAAUAGAAAAUUAAGAAACCAAUCUAGUUAAUGUCAAUUUCCAAUGAAUCUAGAGAUUGCACCAUCAUAGAUGUGGAUGAUCCAAAUGAGAGCAAUGACUUUAAUGUGCCAAUGUUUGUGCAACACAUAAAAGCUAUGCUAAAAGAGAUUGAUCGAAUGAUAUGGAACCUCCUUUUAGUGAUCUUUUUAUUCAGAAUAGCACUAAUUUUGUCUCUUCUGCAAGAAGAAGAUCAAAUGGAAGAUGUAGAUGAGGAGCUUUUUUUGGACAUUGACAAUUUUGAUAAAAGGAAUCCGCUUGUAGUUGUUGAAUACAGUGAUGAUUAUACUAAUUUUAUAAGAGAGCUGAGGUGACUUCAUGUUCAAUUGCAACUUAAGAUUGAGUAAUUAUUAAUCUCUAUUUGUUGGUUGAUUUUCUAAACUUUUUCAUUUAGUUUUUGUAGUGUACUGGUUAUGUUUUUCCAAAUUAUAUGGCCCAACAAUAUGACAUUAAUGAAAGAAUGUGAGAUAUCCUGAUUAACUAGCUGAUAAAUGUAUGUAAUUUUUUGUUUGAUUUUUUGGAUAAUAUUGUGAUAUUUGUUUUAAAAUAGUAGUUUGAGAGUUUUGCAUUUUUUUUUUUAGUCUAAAGGUUGUGUUGUUUAAGAUUUGAUUGUAUAAAUUAUGAUUGGAAUUAUUUUGUGUAGGAGUUUUUGAAGGUUGUUUACUGAUUAGGUUCAAGGUGAGUGGAAAGUUUAAUAUUCUGUUUUGGUUGGAUUUUUAUGAUAAUAUUAUGAUGUUUAUUUUCAAAAAAAAUUAAAGAAAAAUUAUAUUAGUAAAAAGAUCCAUUUUCAUUAAGUUUAAAGUCAUGUUAAUGUACUUUAAGUUUUGUGUACCAACAUGAGCUGGCAAGACAAACAUAGCCAUAAUAUCUAUUCUACUUGAGAUAUGUUCUUUAGCUAGAUUUGUGUGGUCUUUUUUUUUUUUGAGGGAAGGGUUUUACAUUUCAUAAUUUGGUGCAAAAAUGCAAAUGAAUUAUGGUUUUUGGAUGGCUUUUGACAUAUUGGAUGCAAUUUUUUAUUGAUUUUGGUAGAAGUAAAUAAAACAUGAUGUGUCUAAAUAGUUGCAAUUAUGCUAGUAUUUCUGUUGGUUUUGUAUCCUCUUAUGUGUGGUAGCUAAAAUUCUUUUGUAACUCAUCUAAGUUACUAUUUGUUAUAAUUUUUUUAUGCAAUUUUUUAAUUAAAUUACCGUUAAAUAAUUAAUUUAUGUUAAUUAUUUAUAUCACUCUAAAUUUAAACUCAAUUACUUUAACAAAUCGAGCGAAAUUAGGCCACCAACACUAGUAAAUAUCAUUGAAAAGACUCAUCUUCUUUAAAACUAAAUACACAAAAAGAAAUUGUAAUAUUUUUCCAAUAGGUGUCUCUAACCAAGGGUAACAUAGAGUUGAAGUGAACCAAUGACAAGCUUAAGCUUAAAUAAAAAAAAAUGAGAAAGAAAAAUUAAUUGAACUAUUUAAAUUCGAUUUAGUUAAACUUUAUUUGAAUUGAAAGAUGAAAAAAGUAAAGAUGAAAAUUUUGUUAAUUUAAUGAUUAAGUUACAAAAUAAGAAAUUAAUUGUGAAAAUUAAUCAUUGAAUUAAUAAAGUAUCUAUCCUUACCUUUUUUUUUGGUCCUUUUUACCAGAUAAAAUUUUAUGGUCAAUUAUAAUUAACUAUUCAACUAAAAGCUCAAAACUCAAUUAAAACUUAUAAAUAUUUUAUUUUAUUUAUUUAUGUUUAUCAUAUUGAAGAUGUUAACAAAUUUUAAUUAAUUCAUAAAAUAUUUAAAAUCAAUGUUAAAUUACUCUAAUUUGACUAAAUUCAUUAUUCAUUAUUUAAAAUAAGUUGAAUUCAAACUUAGAAAAUAAACAAAUCCAAUUUGAUUAUUCAUCACAAGCACACUGAAUUAGAAUAACAUCGUAACUCACAAUAAAUAAUUACUUCGACUCCAUUAAUCCUUAAGGCUUUAGUAUAAAAACCUUAACUCAAAGUAACACAUUGGAUUAUAUAUUUUUAUUAAUAUUUUAUAUAUUUUAAAUUUUUAUAAAAUAAAAAUAAUUUUUAUAUAAAUUUAUAUAAAUAUAUUAAAAAUUAUAUAAAAAUAAUAUAUAAAAAUAAAAAUUUUAAAUUUAAAAAUUAAUAAAUUUUGAUUUAAAUUAAAUCGAUUUAAAAAAAUCAAAUUUUAAAAAUUUAUUAUAUUAAAUGUUACACCAAAAAAACUCCUAUUCAAUUCACUUACAUGAAAUACGGCGGCCAAGAUGGACGUGAACGACAGGUUUUAGAUUUUUUUUAUUUUGCAUUAUUAAAUUAAAAAUUAAUUAAAUAAACAAAAGGUUAGUGGCUUCCACAAUCAUUCGAAUCACGAUAUCUUCGUGCAACAACCACCGCUAGAUGCUGCGUGGUUGCCGAUCAGCCGCCAGCUCCAACCUCCAUUUUCUCGACACGUGUCGGUACACCUUUUAAUUUGUAAUAAAAUUCUGCCGUGGUGUCUGCACUGCGAGGAUUCCUUGUUGUGGCUGAAAAUUGAGACCCCCGUUGAAUCUGUCGGUAUAAAAGUUUCCAGCGUCACUAAUAACUGUUGUGGGGCCCAUCGUUUCCACUAACGGUCUGCUCUUUUUUACUGCAUGCAUAAAUCUGUAUCUAAUAAUAGUCAUUUGAGUCUGCGUCCGCCGCUGUGUUUUGAACGUUGAAAAUCAUUACAUCUACCAUUUAAAAUAUUAAAAAAAAUUAAAAAAUUGAUAUAAUUUAAAAUUUUAAUAAAAAUUAUAUAUAUUUAAUCAAAUUAAAAAUAUAUUUUAUAAUUUUAAAUAAAUAUAAAUUAUCAUAUAUAAAUUUUUUUAUAAUCAAUUUAUGUUGCGGAAGCUAUUUAAAUUUUGUUGAAAAUUAAAUAAUGGCAAUGUUUCCUAUUUUGUUUUUGUAGAACAGAUAGCUUUUGCAUUGAUAAGGAAAAAGCUAUAAAAUUAAAUUUAAUAGUCUUCAAAAUAAAUAAUCAAAUAUUAAAAUAUUUUUUAUUAAUUAAUAAUAAAUUAUAUGAUCUAUUAAUCCAAAAUUAAAUGAUAAAUUUUUAAUUUCAAUUCGACCUUCUGAUAAUUUUGAAUAAAAAACUUUUUAAUAUAUUUAAAAAUAAUUAAUUAAUAAAAAAAUAAUUAAAAAAAUACUCCUAAUGUAUUUAUUUGUAAAAACCAUCAUUUAAUUAUUAUUAUUAUUAUUAUUUAUUAGCAAAUAAGAAUUUGUCUGUGUGAAUUGACAAACGGCCACGAUUUCAAUGAUGAAGACGUGGUAAAAUCGACACGUGGUGGUCUGAUGAUAGUCACUGGCAAUUCAUGGUAGAGGAUUAGGCUUGUGGAUCUCUGCUUUUAAAUUGUGGGACUCACUUUUCGUUUGCAAGGCAUAGAUAUUUUUUGCAGCAACCAACAUGUAUAUGGUUAAAUAUUGAUUGCCCUCCUUUUUAAUUUAUUUCUAUACAUACCCUCAUAAAUUUCACUUAAUUUCAAUCUAGGCCCAUCAACUUCUUCAAUUAUUUUUCUUUCCCCUAAACAUUAGGAUUCAUUUUAUUUAUGACCAUCCUUUCUUUCUUUUUAUUUUUUUUAUGAUUAUCUUAGUCAAAGUUAAUUCUUUCAUUGUCCCAAAUUGAAUCACACUUGAUUUACAUUCACUUUAAGAAAAUUUUCAAUCUAAAAAUAUAUACAUUUGUAUUUUAAUUUUUUUAUGAUGAUAUUGAUUUUAAUGACUUUUCUAAUGUCUAAAAUAAUAGUCAUGAAAAUAUAAAAUAUUCUUUUUAAAAAAAUAGAAAAAGAAAUUUACGUGUUAAAAAAGCCAAUUAAGGCAUAUUUGUAGUAUAUAUAUGUCUUAUUAUAAAAUUGAAUUGACUAAGAUUCAAUUUUCUUUUAAAUGUUGAAAAAAUAUUAUUUAGUUUACUUUUUAAUUUGAAUCGAUAAGAUAAUCAGCCAAAAAAAAUAUUCAUGAAAAAAAAUUACAAGUAUUAAAAUUUAAACCUUAAAUUUAUCGUAAUUAUCUCUUAAAAGUAAUUAUAUAAAAUAAUUGAAUUAAAUUUUAAAUUUUUUAAAACCCAUUAAUAUAAAAUACUUUUUCUGUCAUUAUAAUUAAAACUUAAAAAACAAGAAUCCUAAAAAUGUAUAUUUAGAAAUACAUAUGCACAUAGAAAAUGGAAUAUUGGGGGUUUUUUUUUUAAUACAAGAAGAUAUCCUAAUGUAAGCUACUACAAAAUAUAAAUAUGAUUUUUGUGAUUUAAAAAAAUCAUUGAUUUGUCGAAAGCAAGAAUUAUUAGAAAAUCAAGGAUAGUUUAUUUAUAUACCUUCAAAUUCAAUAUGCAUCUUGAAUGCAUUCGGUAAAAAAUAAAAAAAAGUUUAAUGUCUUAAUGUGAUAUUAACUUGUAAACAAUCAACAAAAUAUAUAAUGAAAUGAUAAGACUAAUUCAAUAAUAUGGUGAAUAAAUUUAUAGACCGACAAUGCAUGAAGUAUAGACUUAGAAAGGGAAAAAAAAAAAAGGGGUCACCAUUUUUUGAAUUUAAGGAGGGUAAAAUUAUAAGACUGUUUAAAAUGAUGCAAAACACAUAAAUAUAAGAGGCAUGGAGGGUAAGACUGCAAAUAUGUAGACAAAGGAGGGAAGAAGAAUGGAAAAGAAACAGAAUGAUAUGGUUUUUGAGUUGUUCGAGGAAACAAGGCUAUGCGGACAGCCCAAUGAGCACCAAGAAACAAGAGGCAGAGCGUAAUUACUCCAUCAAUAAUCUAAAUAAAAAAAUAAUUUGUUUCCUUUUUUUUUUAAUUAUUAUUAUAUUAUUAUAAAUAUAAGAACCACGAAAACCACACAAAUAACACUUUUCUAUUUUAUAAAUCCAAUGCAUAUCUCUCUCUUUUAAUUCCAUUUCUCUUAGUUUCUGUUCACCGCCUUUCUCUCUCCCGCAAAAAUCGCUCACUUUCUCCUGUCCUUUCCUCACCUUUCCGUUUUCCUCCUCAAAUCUCUCUCUCCCUGAGUCUCUCUCCUUUCUUUUCUUUUUCUUUCUCCAUUCUCUCUGAAAGACCUAAAGAAAUUAAAAUGAAAACAGGCAAGUUAUGCGAGCUUUGCGAGGAAGAAGCCAAGGUUUACUGUUCGGCGGACGCUGCUUUUCUUUGUCGGAACUGCGACAACAAGGUUCACCAAGCCAAUUUUCUCGUAGCUCGUCAUAUCCGUCACGUUCUAUGCAGAAAAUGUAAAUCUUUUUGCGGAUUAGAACCCAUUAGGGCUUCUCCAUCAGAAUCCCAAUCCCACCAUCUUUGCAAAACUUGUUCUGUUGAAGAAAACAACCACCCAAUGCCUUCUUCAACUCUCUCAUCGUCUUCUUCUGAUUGUCUAUCUACCAACGAAUCUUCAUCCACAGAUUUCAAAACCAAAAGAAUACUCGUAAGAUCAAGAUCAACCACGCCUAUUCAAUCUUCCUCCACCGCCUCUGUUCCCGAGCUUUCAAAUACCAAAAGGUUGGAAAGUGUUUUCGUAAUUUGGUGCAAGAAGCUAGGGCUGAACCAACACUCCGUUGUGCCUACGGCGACAUCCGCCUUGCGGUUUUGUUUAGAGCGGUUGGCGAUUCUGCCGUUUAGGCUGAGCUUGGCAGCGGCGUUUUGGAUCGGGCUAAGGAUGAGCGGGGACAUGUCGGUUGCCACGUGGCAGAAUCUGAGGAGGCUUGAGGAGCUGUCCGGUGUACCGGCCAAGCUGAUCGUGUCAAUGGAACCGAAACUGGCACGUGCCAUGAGGUUGAGGAGGAGAAUCAGACGGGACCUGAAAGAAGGAUGGGCUGAGUGUAAUGUUUGAAUCGCACGUGUGACGGAAUGAAUAAUUUCGUGUUUUUUUUUUUCUUAAUUAGAAAUAGUUUUCUCCUUUGAUUAGAUUAGUUUCUGGUAUUAAGAGUAAUGCCAAAAAAAAAAUGAAAAUUAAAAAUUGCGAGACAUUGAAUAUAUUCCAUAUUAAUUUCCUUGAUUAGAAAAAAAAAUACAUUACGUAUUAAUCGGAUAUUGCCUCGUAUUCAGCUACUUAAUUUUUUUAUAUUUAAAAUUAUCAAAUUUAAAUUUUAAUUAUUGAAAUUAAAAAUAUAAGUCUAAUAUUUUACAACAGUUCAUGUGAUAAUUUUAAUAAAAAAUAAAUAAUAAAAAGUAUCAAUAAAAUGAAACUAAAAAAAAAAAAACAGUUUUCUUCUAUAAAAAAAAAAAUCCAUAUAUAUUAUAUAUUUUUCAAUGUAUUUGCCUUUUGAUUAGGAUUUUCUUUUUAUGCUAAAGCUUUAAUCAACAUGAUACAUAAAAAAAAAAAAAAAAAAAAAAAAAAAAAAAAAAAAAACCAUGUUUAUUUAUUUAUUUAUUAAUUUUCAAAUGAGAAAAGGACUUCGUUUGUGGGCAUGGCAGCCAGGAUAUGUGUGAGUCGUUGUACAGCUUUUGAAAAUUAAAUUCUUACACGCUCUUAAUUAUACGGUAUAUAUUGAUGGCGAAAGUAUAAUUAAUAACGAUGGAUGCUAGACAUUGAAAAUUUUCUAGGGAAAGUUUACGAAAUUUUUUAAUUUGAAGGAUUUAAUUAAAAUUUUAAUAAAAAAUCUAUAUUGACAAAUUAAUAAAAUUUAAUGAGAAAAUUAAUAAUACACAAAAAAAAAUUAAAAAUAUAAUUUAUAAUUCAAAUAUGAUCAAUAUUUAUUUAAUGAUAAAAAUUUUGUCAAAAUUUUUAUUAAAAAUAAUUAUUUAAAAGAUAUAUCAAAAUUUACUAAAAUUUUUUAAAAUUUUACACACUUAAUCUUUAUAAUAAAAUAUAUUAAUUUAUCGAUUUUAAUUUUAAAUUUUAAAUUUUAUUUAAUCAUUUUUAAUGAAAAACUUUAAGUUUUUCUAAGUAAUUUCUUCUUAAUCUUUCCUCUUACAAUAGCCUUCAAAAUCCCAACUCUUUAAAAAAUAAUAAAUGUGGUAAAAUUUUAAGUCUUAAUGUGUUGUUCAUUUUUAAAAAAGCUAAUUUCAUAAAUGAUUUUUAAAUUAUAAUAAAAUAUUUAAUAUAAUAUUUAAACUUUAAAUAUCUUUAAUAUGAUAUAUAAAUUAUAAAUCUAUUAACUAAAAUGAUAUUUAUUUUUAACAUAAUUAACUUUAAAUAAUGAUAUGUAGUAGGCAUAACUCUUCAAGUAUUAUAUUAAUUAACAUAUUUAUAAUUCAUGUAUCAUAUUAAAAAAUUUUAAAAUUUAAAUUCCAUAUUAAAUAUUUUAUUAUAAUUUAAAAAUCAUUUAUGACAUUAACUUUUUUUAAAAAAAAAACUUCCUUAAAAAAAUAAUAAUAAACAAAUAAAAAAAAUGAGUUUAACCACUUUCUUUUUACCCAUGAAUUAAAAUAAUACAAUUGUGUGUGUUGCCUUUGUAAAAGAACAACAAUGUAUUUUAAUUGCCUCUCCCAAUUGAUUAUUUUCUUUAUUUUUCUUUGUUAUCUAUAGUUGAGUGGUUGAGUAGUUGAGAAAUGCAAACCUCUUAUAUGCAUUGCCCUAACGAAUUUCCUUCCAAAUAUUAUACUUAUCAUCUGGCCCCCCCCAAAAAAAAAAGAAUUGUAGCAUUUUAUGAUUGAUUUACAUAUGAGUCAAGAUGAAAUGACAUUGCAACUAAUGCCAACAUACCCCAAACUCAACUACUUGAUAUGCUUUCUCUAGUUGUGAAUAAUUUGAACGCUUACUUUAAAAGUUAGAGAAAAAAAAGUUAUUCUCCUAAUUCAUUUUGAAUGAAUUACAUAACCAAUGUAAGUCAAUUGUUUUUGGUCAAUGUCUAAACUUCAAAUCAAGAUCUUAAAUUUUAAUAUCAAGAAAUGGGUUAUUAAUUUGCUAAAAAAAUGAGUUAUUAAUUAUACAUAUGUAUAUAUAUAUAUAUAUAUAUAUAUAUUAGUAUAUAAAAGUUUAAAGUAAGAGAAAUUAUCUCAUUCCAACAUUGGAACAUUUUGAAAAUUUAAAUUAAAUUUACAUAUCAUCUAUUUAAAGAAAUUAUUUAUUAAUGAUGAUUGAAUUUAGGUCUUAUAAGUAAAUUAAUAUAUAUAUAUAUAUAUAUAUAUAUAUUACUUGUUAAAUUUCAUGGUAUAUAUUCCCCAAAGGUAUACCUUAUGGUUAGAACUUAAAAUUAAAAAUUUAGAGGUAUGGGAUUCAAAUCAUGGGAUGAUCAAUGUGAGAGAUUUAAAAUUAGGUCAUCUUCUAUUGCAUAUUCCAAAAUUUACAUAUAUAAUUGAAUGGUAAUAGGAGCAAGGGCUCCCAAAAAUUUGGAAAACCCUUUAGUUUGUUUUGGCCAAAGAGCAAGCUUUCAUUUCACUGAAAAAGAGUGUACAAGAUUAGUACCCAGAAUCUUACAGAAACAUAAAAACAAGCUACUAUUUAAAGACAAAGAUGAAAUGUUAGAUCUGUCACUAUGAAUAACAUAUAUAAACUGUCCAUGGUAUAUGGUUUCCUUGCGUAUGCUUAAUUUAUCCAAUAUUUUCCACCGAUAGGUCCACAUUAUGUAUAUAAUUAAGUUGAAAUGCUUCCUUUAAUAUACCCCAAAAUAAAAGUGUUGAAUAAAUAUUUUAUCACAUUAAAUCGAUCAAAUGUGUAUGUUAAAGUGGGUUGUCCUACAUCUAAUAAAUUUUCAAUAUUCUUUAGUCUUAUAUUUAAAUUGGGCCUUUUCAUUUACUAUCAAUUAGUUUUAAGUUAGAUGCUUAACAUGAUAUCAGAAUCAAAAUUUUCUUCUGUUGUCAUUUUCAAAUUUGUCACAUGAUAGGUUUUUUUUGCCUUUGUCUACACGUGAUGAGGGCCUGUCAAAAUGAGUUAUCUUGUAUCUAAUAAAUUUUUAAUAUCUUAUAAUUUUAUAUUCAAGUUGAGUUCUUUCACUUACUGUUAAUUGAUUUUAAGUUGAAUCCUUAUUAAUAUCAACUAAUUUAAAAUGGAAAUGAGCAAAAUAUGAUAUUGGUGAUUUUCACCAUUUUAAGUGAUGCACUUGAUAAAGACUUGAACAAAAGACAUCUUUGUGAAAAUUGAUCAUGUGAUUUACAACUCUUGAAGGAUGACCGAAUUUUAAAUCAACAAAAGAUUACUUAAAUCAUUAAAAUUAGAAUUAGAAAUGUUAAACAACAACAUAAAAUUAAAUAAAGACAAAUCUAAUAUAUAUGUAAUCAAGUGAGAUUAAGUAAAAGAUAAAGCCUAUUGAAUUUAAAACUUCAAACAUAAGAAUGGUGCACAAAAAUAAGCCAAUGUGCUUGGCUUCAUAGUGACUUUAUUUGAUUGAUGGAAUGAUGCUUAAAGAGGAAUAAUACUCAAGGAGCUUACAAAUACAUUAACAAACAAUACAAAAUCUACUUACUGAAAGCAGUAAUUGUUACAAUAUGGUUUUCAGAGAGUUUAGAACAAAAGUAGGAAAAAAGAUAAAAACCAAGAGGAUUGGAUAAAAAAAAUGCAAGUGCUAUGUUUGAUGUUAUGUGUUGAUUUGUUGGCUAAUCACUUCUAUUUACAGAGUUUUUAGUUUUAUAGGUGUUAAAAUGGGUUAUUUCACAUUUAAUGAAUAUUUAAUAUUUUAUAAUUUUAUAUUUAAGUUGACUUUUCACUUAUAAUAAAUUGGUUUAAGUUGGAUUCUAAAUAUGGUAUCAGAAUUAGAACUUUCUUUCGGUUGUUCUUUCCUAAUUUGUCACGUGUGUUUCUACCAUUUUCGUUUACACGUGAUAAAGGUUUAUUAAAAUGUGUUGUUUUAUAUCUAAUAAAUAUAUUCUUGAUUUUAAGUUAAAUGCUUACCAAUAGAAUUGUGUCAUUAUGUUCUUGCUUUCAAAUAUGUCCUCAGGUUUGCCACAUUCUUAUCUACCAUUUUCCUAAGAUUUUAGUUCAAGAAAUCAUCUUUCUCUUGAAAUGCAGCAACUACCUUUACUUUCAUUAUUGUUUAGUAACUGAUUUCAACAACUAUCUCACUUUCAUUGUAUAGUAACUGAUUUGUAGCCUCACAUGACUUGAUCUUCCAGGGUAAUCAUUUUCCUAGGAACCAUUUACUUGAAUUUUGGCUCAAGUAACCAUUUCUGCCAUCAUAUCACCAACUAACUCAAAAUUUCUAGAUUUUUGCCAACCAUUUUUAUUUUUAAAUUGUCUAUUUGCCAUCGCUUGUUAGAUUUUCAGUCAUACUCUUUGAAAAAAUGAACUCUUUGAUAGUCAUAGAUUUGAGGAGAAAAUCAUGUGUAGAUGCUUUCAAUCAUUCUUGUAGUCACUACUAUAUUAUUUGAUUACUUGGAUCUUAUAAAUAGUUGCAAGAUUUUGGCACUUGAAAAUUAAAAUUUGGACACUUAUUAGAUCUCUGGCCUUUAAUAAUCCCAUCAAAUGCCAUGUGUCAAUCAUCCAAUGAUUGGUAUAUAUUUAGCUUAACUAGAAAUUGUGUUUAUUUUUGUAAUUAUGAUACAUUUGAUUGUUAUUUACAUUUUUACUUGCUCUUGGUUAAAUAUAAAAGAAUAAGUUAUUUGGUUAAAAAAUGAGAAAAUAAAUGCAAUACAUAAUUUAUUCAUUUAAAGUAAAAUUAUAUUUUUAUUUUUUAAUGAUUCUUAAAAUUGCUACUUAUUUACUUUUAUAUCCAAAUUAAUGCUCUUUUAUUUCUAAUUUCUCAAGAAAAACAACUUAAUAAAAUAAGAUUAAUAAAGCUGAUAUUGUGAUGGAUGGUUCAAUAUUUUUAUUAUUUCUGCUCUCAAAGCUGAUACUGUGAUAGAUGGUUGUUCUUUAACAAGACGCCACAGUUCAUCAGCAAUCAAGCUUGCAGCUAUAUAGGGAUGAUCUUCACUAAGCUCAGACUGAAAACAACUAUGUGGAUCACUGUAUUGAGUGAUUUCAAAUAGUUUGUGAGUAUUACGCUUACAUGCACAUUGUUUCCACCCACAUCCAGACUCCAAAUAUUUUUUGCACCUUAACAGCUUUGUUCCACUUCAUAUUAUUGAUUCCUUCUUAUAGAAUAUAAGCUCAUUGCUAAUCUCUUCUUUGUCCUUGAAAAUCAUCCUUAGCAUAAUUUUUGAUCUAGAGUGUAAUGAUUUCCAUUUGGUUGAAGUGAUCAACUGCUCACCAUUGCAUCAUCUCCCCCCUUCCAAGUUAGUAAAACUCAAAUUAGGUGCCUUAUACGAAGCCUCACCAUGUGAACUAGGUCUUGUUUGAUAAUUAUGCUCUAUUGUUGUAUCUUGUGAAGGCAUCCUCAACUGAGUAGCAAGGGUUGAAUUUCCAUUAAUGUCAAAUAAGUCUUCUUCAUCUUCCUCUAACACGUUAUCUAUCAAUUCCUCGUUAAUAUCAUCUUCAUUCAUGAUAGCAUAUGAGAUAAACAAUUAAAGUCUUCUAUCACAAUCAUGGAAGGUAUUGCAUCCCAAUCAAUGCCUCUACCAACAAAAUCCCCAUCCAUUUUAUUUUUAUAUAAAAAAUAAAGAUAAAUUGUAAUUUAAUUAGUCAUAUAUAAAGGAAUUCAUUCAUGAGUUAUUAUGAAAAAGUAGGCAUCUAAUUGCCUCAAACAAUUUUGUCAAUAACAAAAUCCUAAUCCCCCAAUUAAGCCUAAUUUCUUUGCAAAAAAGAAAUAAGCUAGUAAGCCUACGACAUAUCAACCACACACAAAAAGCAAUGAACAUUCCAACUUUAGCUUUUCAAGCUUCUCCCACGAUCCCACCUACCGAGUUUUGAGUUUUCCCUCUUUUGGGAUGGUGCAUUUUGGCAAUGUCGUAUCAACCCACCACAGGUCCACAACAAUUCAUCCAAUGCCUGCAGUAUUGUUGUGUUUUUGCAUCAUAUUUCACAUAAUAGUUUUAAUUUAGUCUUUAGUUUUUUAAAAAAAUAAAAAAGAUAAAUAAUUGUAUAUAAAAAAUAAAAAUAAUUUAAAAAAGUUUUUCUCAGUUAUUUGCUUCAAUUAUUUAUUACAAAAUUAAAGAUUUAUCAUCUAAUGAAUAUAUAAAUUAAUUCAUAAAUAAAUAAUUUAUUAUUUAUUAAGAGUCGAACGUGAUUGGGACAUUUUUAACUGCACUUGAUCCAAAAGGUUGAUCGGACCUUUAAUUUUUUCGAUAUUUAAUUUUUAAUAGCAUAUCAAUCAAUAAAUUUAAUACUUAAUUCUUUAUUAGUGUUAAAUUUUUUUAGUUCAUCACAAUCUUUUUCUUUUAUGUCCAAAAAUUAUAAUCCAUUGUAUUGUGAUCAUGUUUCAUAUUUAUUAUAUUAUAUGUAUAUCAAACUUUAGGUUAUAUAAAUAAUAAAAUAAUAAGUAGUACAACAAAUAUGAAGAAUUGAGGGCUUCAGGUGAGUGGGGAAUGGGGGUUAUGGCUAUAGUUUGGUAGAUGUUGGAAACAAUAAUGCUAGGGAGAUUUGGUCCAUUGGCUGAUUUAAUAAAUUAGGUGGCCUGCUUCAAAUGGAUUCAUUUUAGCCAUUACUUUCUUUUUUCUUUUAUUAUUAAUUAUUACUCAAUGAUUCAUAAAUCAUGGUUGCAGAUGAUUCUGGAAUUUUUUUGUUGUUGUACCAUUAUAUCUAUUUUUUUAUUGUUGAAAUUAAAAAAAAAAAAAAGAUUUGAGGUGGGUUCCAGCUAACCCCCUUUUUCUGUACUAAAAUUUUUUCCCUUUUUUUUUUGGUUUGAAAUUAAUUCUACUGCUCAAAUAUAAUUUUAAAAAAAAUCGAGGUAAAUAAUUAUUUAAUUUCUCAUAUAAAAAUAAAAUAUAUCAUAUUUAAUAAUUUAAAAUAAAUUAUUAUAAAUUAUAUAUUUAAAAUAAUUUUAAUAAAUAAUUAUAAAUAAAAUUUAAAUUUAAAAUUUUUAUUAAAAAUAAAUUUUAAUUAUUUGAGUCAAACUGAUUACUGUUCAGAUAUAAUUUACUACUUAUCUUAGUAGCAUUGAAAUUUGCCCACACAAGAAAUUUGUGGAGCUGUUUUGAUGGAAGAAAAAAAGGGAAAACAAAGAAGUGGGGGAGCUGAAUGAUGACCAUGAAUUAUAUGAUGUGCCAAUACAAUAGUACUAAUGUACUUUCCGUUGGUUUUUAUUUAUUUUUUAAGGAAUUAUAAAUACUAAAAAAUUAUAAUUAUAUUCAAAUAAUUCCGAGGGAUCUGUACAAUAUUCAACGGAACCCAUUUCCUACGGUACGGAAUAGGUCUAAAAUAAACCCUUGCUUAUCAAUUAAAAUUUUAAAAACUCCAAUUGCCCUAAUUGUACACUACAAUUUGAUGCCCCAAUUGUGCAAAAAGCCAGUGGCUCCGAUAAAUGCAACUAAUAAUGGUGGUAGUUCAUUUCAUUGGUUUAACAUGAUUUGGAUUUAAUCAUUUUUUUAUUUAAAUUUUUUAAUUUUUGAUAAUCACUUUAAAUUUUAAUUAAUUUAAAAUUGAAUUAAGUCAGAUCUCAUAAAAUAAAUAUUUUCAGAUUUAUUUUUUUAUUUAUAAAAUUUAAAAUUAAAAUUUUAUUUAAAAAAAUUAAAUUUUUUAUCACUCGAAUCAAUAAGUAUUAGUAAAAGAAAAUAAAUUUUGAUUGUAUGUUUGGUAAAAAAGAACACCUAGAGAAAAGAAAAUAAAAAGAUUAUUAUUUUCCAUACUUUUUCACAAAUAAAUCAUUCCAAAUUGAAAAUAUAUGAUGAAAGAUACUUUAAAAUCAUGGUGAUGUUGCAAACACUUUUAGUUUUAAACCCAAUUAAUAAUUUGAUUUUCUUUCAAGUCUUAACCUCAAUUUCAAAUCCCUCCUUUUUUCCAUAUAAAUGAGCUCACAAUGUGUUUCACUUAACAACAGUAGGAUAGCAAGAAAAAUAGUAUGAAAAACUUACAGAUUGACUGACCUGGGUGUCAAAAAGCCAAUAUAUAACUAUAUCCAAGCCCAUCGAGCAUCUGGAUUCCAUCAUGUUGAUGUGACAUUUUGCUGAGAACAUUUUGAAGAGGUGUAAUUACAGAUAUUUGGCCAUCAAGAGCUGCCAAUGUGGAAAGGAACAAUAUCAUAAACUUGUGGAAUUAGCAAAGUAACACUCCAUGAUGUUAUAUCAUGGCCCAGAUUGACUUCAAAAUGGUAUGGGGCCUAUACGCCAUGUUUCUUUUUUCUACUUUAUUGUUGCUGAUGGCACUGACUAGGUCUAACUCCUCUUUCUGCAGCAAGCUUGGUUAGAAGAACACCAAGUUUGAUACCUUUGGGACCUGGCUUGACAGCAUCAAUGUCUCCCCAAGUAGAGCAUAACUCCUCCUCACCUGUCAAAAACGGAUCCAAAUGUUUUGUUAGGUUAUCCAUGAACAUCCCUAAAAAUUAAAAAACAAGAAAUUUUGAAAGAAAAUUGUUUCUGGACAUCCCAAAAUUUUCUCUAGACAUCCUUUUCAUCGAUAAAAUUGAUAACUAAUCGGUCGUUAGGACACUUCUGAAAAGAAAUCCUCAAUUUGCCGCUGCUUGCCAUGCUCUCAUUCUUACCUUGACAAGAGGACCAGCUUCCAGGCACUAUUUUAUCAGGCAGGCGGAAUAGGACAUCUUCAUCAAUCUUGUUUAGCAGUGGAUCACCUUCUUGUAUUGGUUGUGCAAAAACUGCGUCACUACCAACCAUUUGAUUAUAGUGUAAAGUGUCAAGGUUUUUGGGUUCUCCUUGCUUAGGGGUAUUCCAAAUAAUGUACCUUAGAUCAUUGUCCAAUGUUGUGUUUUGGAACUCAGGUGAGCUGCAUAUUACCGUGUGGAAGUAGGUUUCAAGAGGGUAAGCUACGUUGGUGAAGUACAUUAAUAACUUUCUUGGAAUGUUAUCCCAUCCAUCGACACAAAACUCCAUAAAGAAUCUUGAAAGAAUCACCCAAGGUGAGCCUGCAUAUUAGGAAACAUACAAGAACAAGCAAAUUCACCAAUAAGUCAUCAGAAAUUUUGUGUUAGCUAGAUGUACAUCCAAAUAGAGGCGGAUCCAUGUGUAGUAGUAGGGCAUCCAUGGAUAACCCCAAAAGAUUGGAAAAUAAAAAAAUUUGAAGAAAAAUUUUUAGAUACUCCAAAAUUUUUCCUGUCCUCAAAACUGGUGCAUGUUGUGCUCUGUGAAAUCAUUCUCAUCUAAAACUGACCUCCAAAAAUCUUGAAAGCAUCUGGUUUUCUAGUUUCUACAGCAUAGUAAAUUGGACUAUUCCUUUGAUAAUAUAAGUUGGGGUCCAAAACAAUUCGGUUCAUCUCUUCCCUCCUGCACAAAACAAGAUUUCCAUCAGAGAAGAAGCUAAUAGAUAGCAUAUAGAUAAAGAGAUUGCGCUGCAAAACAGAGGAGGAUCUAAACUCAACAAUUGAAAACAAAAAAAAUUUGAAGGAAAAGUUUUCGCUUGACGUCCCAAAGGUAGGAAAAUUAGAGCACCAUAGUGGUUUAGGCUUACUCCUUCCAGCCUGGAUUACUAGUAUAAUCAAUAAAGUUGAGAUCCCUUGGCAGGAAAGUGAAAGCAUGGAGCAGAUCUGCAUCAAGAGCAUUAUCAGGAAUUGGUUAAAUGUAUGCCCACAAGGGAGCAACUAUUAUCACUGCUAGUUAAUUGCUUGAAAAAUCUCAAACUUGAGGAUAGUAGUCAUCUCCAUUGAAUUAUUAUCUGAUUAAUGGUGUGGACUUUAUGCAAAAAUCGUUUCUCAGCAUGUUCUGGACUGUGCUACAUUGUUUGUUCCAUAGGUAUGUCUUAGCAAUGUAUAUAUUAACCAGAGAAUGGUGAUAGAUUUAGGGGUGAGCAAUUAAUCAGUUCAACUAGUUGGUUGUAAAACCAAAAAUCGAUCUCCUUUAAAAGAAUAAUUGAACUGACUGACUUAUAUUUAAUAGUCGAAAAUAACUGAACCAACAAAAGGUCGGUCCAUUUGUAAAAAAACUGCAUUUUUUCACCAUUUUUUUCCAUCAAUUUUGAAAAAUAAUUUUUGGUCCAAAACCAAACUAACCAAACCAUUUAACCAAAAUCAAUCAAUUUCGAUCAAUUAAAUCAGUUUGAACCGACUUAUGCUCAUCCCUAUAUAGAUUUAUGAUGCCCAAAAUAACAGAGAAUAAAACAGCAAUAGUGUUUAGCUAAUCCGAAAGCAGUCUACUAUAGAACCUAUUCCAAGUGGAAACAUGUUUUUCAAAGAUGAGAUUGGCAUUAUCAGAAAAAAAAUGGGAUUGACAUGAUAAAUAUGGUUAGACUGAGGAGCAGUAAAACUCUUAUUUAAAUGCAAUAAGUCAGCUGAUAGCUUAUAACAACACUGACUGAACUAAAUUGGGUAAUUGAGACAUGCUGAAAAAGGCUGUAAGGAAAAACUAAAUACUCUUUUAAUGCAGAAUAUAAGCAGGAAAACUGCAUGUAAGCACUUUACAGUAGUGAAAUGAAAGCACCAACUUAAACGGUCCUUUUCAAAAUAUGUAGGUAUACAUGAUUCUUUUAGAUUAAAAGGUCAUCCAACUUUGGAAAACAUGAAAAUUUCAAGUUUUGCGUUUUUCUAGGAGGCCGUAGCCUGGAAAUAAAAGAAGAGGUUGCAGGUAUUUGAAUUUGAAUUGUAGAUCUGCUGAACUAAUUGAACUAAUCUCCAGGUUCAAGUUCUACACUUUGCAGGCAAAGUUUACCAGGAAUCAGAUAAUUCUGAUUGGUACUCCUAAAACACCAUGACAACAAACCGGCAAUGUUAAAGCCACGAGAAAAACUAUAGUUGAAAGGAUAUACACCAUAUUAAUAUGUUAGAUUGAUGAAAAUUAGCAGCAGUAGCACUUACCAUCUUGAGUCAUUAGGGGAUAAUCAGAGGCACUUAAAGGAAUGAACCAAUCCCAAUCUGUAUUAAUCUUGAGAAACAAGGCAGCAGCAUGAAGUGUUGCAGCCAGAGCUGAAGAUCCCAUCCUGUUAACUGCAUAGCUUUCACCUUCAACGAUAACAUUUCCAAAUGCUUGGAACACAGUUUGUGAUUGAACAGAAAGAGCCAACUCAGCCCUUUCGUACUCAGAUGAACCAGCAUCAAGUUGCAACAAGUACUGGUUUCUUGGAUGAUAUAUUGCCUUUAGUAACCUUAUCAUUUUCUUACUAUCUCCAUUAGUACCACAAAUCCAAUAAGCAAGAACAGGAGGAUAGCCAUACCCUUUAUAUGGGAGUCUCAGUGUCACUGGUUUCUGAAACUUAAAAGUGGUAACAGAAAUUUUAUCUUGAUGGUUUGAUCUUGAUAAGCCACCGAGCAAUACUAAAGUCGUUGCACAAACAACCAUCCAAAGACGAUAACCUGAAAGCCAGGAAGACAUUUUGGACAUCCUCAUUUGGACAGCUUUGGCUUGAACAAUGUGGAGUGUUUUGCAAUAUCAGCAUCUAUAGCCUGAAGACUCGUUAAAUCCGAAUAGAACUGCACAGCGAAAGCGCCACUGAUACCAUCUUCAAACUAAUAGAAAUGAAUACAGAACUUCAAUACAAAGGCUUAUCAGUGCACGUUAAAAGUUUGUGCUAGUCUGCUAGAACAUCAUUAGACACUAUUCAGAAUAACAAGAGAUCCUUGAAACAUGUUACUUUGAGUUAAAAAAAAAAUGUUAAAGAGGGUUGAUAUAAUAAUUGCAUAUAAUCAAGAAAAGAAGAAACCAUUGAUGAUGGGAACAUGUAAAUGUCAUUGCAAUGAUAAAAGACGUCACCUGCCAAACCCAACACCUGAAAAACUUAAAGUGAAAGAAAGCAAGUUGGUAGAUUAGAAUCCUUUCAAAACAAGCAAAGAAAGUUAUCCAUAAAUGACAGCAAGAGACAGAUUUAGGAUUCUUUUUAGGAGCAUCAACUUAUAAUAUUUUUAAAAAACAAUCACUAAAUUUAUCAAUAAAAAAAUAUCAAAAAAACUUUGGGGUGUAUAAAGUAAAAUUUUUUUAAAAAAUUUACUUAUUUUUUAAUAUUUGAAGUGUCCAUAGACACCUUUUUUCAAAAGAUGAAUCCGCCCUAAUGACAGCCAGCCUUUUUGAAAGUGAGAGUGGCUAAUGGUUACUAGAGACAGAGAGGCCAGGAGACCUUUUUUUAUUUUUUAUUUUUAUCCGGUUGACUUGUGUUCUUCCUCGUUCCUACCACAUUUUUUAACUUUGCAUAAUUUUAUUUGUGGGGUUUUCAUGGCCAAUGGUCAGUAAGUUAUUUCUUUUCUUCUCUGCUUGUUGCCUUCAGAAAAAGAUGAGAAUAUGAUAGGCUGAGCUGUAGCUUAAUUAUGUAGUAACCAUAUAUGAAUUUUUUUUUUUUUUUUGUGAACUUAAGGAGAAUUUUUUUUGGUCUAAGACACGGGUAAUCACUUUUUAUUUCAACUAAUUCAGAGUUGAGUCAAAUCGAAUCUUAUAAAAAAGAUAAAUUCUUUCAAGUUUAUUUUAUUUAUUUAUAAAAUUUAAAAUCGAAAUCUUACUUAAGAAAAAUCGAACUCCUUAUCACUCGAUAAAAUAAAUUUUAUUAACGAAAUAAAACUCAUUUAAUGAAAAUCUUUUUGGAACUAAAAUUUUAAUUUAUAAAUUAAGUAGGUAUUAUUAAGAUUUAUAAGGAUAAAGUUUAAAUUUAGUAUACUUAAUUAUAGUGAUGAAUCAAAUUUACCUUUUACGAUUAUACUUUUUAAUUUGAUUCAAAGAUGAUUAAAAGUUAACAAUAAAAAAUAUUUCCUGAAAAAAUAAAGGAAUAUUUCACACGAUGUUCUGACUUUUGAUAAAAUUUUAACCAAAUUAAAAUAAAUAAUAGUAAAAAUAAAGGAAUCUUUUACAUAAUAUAUUAAUUUUUAAUAAUAUUUAAUAAAUUAGAAAAUAUAAUAGUAAAAUUGCACGUGUCUAAAAUUGAAGGGUAAAUUUUGUCCUUGUAAAUUUAAACCUUAUCCCAUAUAUAUAAUAUAAAAUAUUUAAAAUGGCAAUUAAAAGGAUUUUUUGUCGGUUGAAAUGUUUUUCAAGAAUUGUACUUUUAUUUUUAUUGUCACAUAUAUUGUACGUAAAUAUUUUUAUUUAUAUUUAAACAAUAGUUAUAUAUUAAACAUAUAUGUGGUUACAUAUAGAGGUACAACUAUUGAAAUUUAUAUACAUACAUUUAUAAUUUAUAAAUACAAUUAAAAUUAUCCCCAACUAAAAAUCGAACCAGAUCAUAUAUGUCCUUAAAAAUGACUUAGGUAAUUUAGCAAAAAAUCUUUCUGCUUUACAUGUAGAGAAAUUUUAUUUAUACCCCGAAAAUUACGUUUUACAUCUUAUUACUAAAUACAUUUCAUGUUCAAAAUUAAAGUUCUUACUUCUUUUAAAUACACUCCAUCUAACAAAUUCAUAUUUCUUUUCAUACCCUUAAACCAUUCUUCAUUCUUUCACUGUCACUCUCAAUUCAAAAUUAACCCUAUAUCCAUCAAACUAACCCUAAAAUCACAAAUUUUUUUAGUUUUCCAUUGAUUAUAGGUAAGGUUUCAAGAUUUAUUUCAAUUGAUUUGGUUUAAAUCAUACGAAAAUAAUAUAGGAUUUACAAAUUGGGUUUAAUAUUUGAGUUUUUCAAAAAUAUAUUUUCGAAAAGUUUUCAAGGCUCUCAGAUAUGCAUUUUUGAUAAACCCAAACUAUAUUGAAUAAAAAUUUCAAAAUUUUUAUUUGAUUUUCGAAAUUGAUAUUUCCUUAUCUAUCAAUAAAGAAAGUUAUUUUUUUGUUAGUAAUGAUUUAUAUUAAACGUAUCUGUUGUCUAUUCAAAUUCGUGAUAAUCAGUAGUAAGAAGUAUAGCAUGAAUCUUAUUUAUCCAAAAUGGAUUGGUGUUUUUUUUUUUUUUAAGUUUGGUUUAUGCUUAAAGGUGAAAACAAUUUUUUGAUUCUUCUACGGUAGGGUCCAUUUUUGGAUAUACAUUUUCAAGAAGCUUUUAAGGUUAUCUGAGUUUAAGGUUUACUAAAUAUAUUCUGUAAGCUUACUAAGCUGUUUUUUGUUACAAAUAUAGCUUAUACAUAGGGUACAGGUGUUCCUAACAGACGUAAAGGUACUGAAACUGAUCUCAAUCCUAGUUGAAGGUGUUCGACUGCCUUCGAAAAGAGAUGUCGAGUAAGGGAUGGUGAGCCAGAGGAUCGUGUAAUAUAUGACAUUCUUCAGGCUAAGCCUUCCACCCAUUACAAUGAAGUUAUCGAACAUGCCACACACAAACCUAAUGAUAGGGAUGCAGAUGAUAGUAUCACGAUGCUCAUGUAAAUCGUGUGGAAUCAUUUCCUAGAGGUCUGAUUGAUACAUCUAUUAUUUUGAGCUUUUGGAUAUCAUGUUAUAUUACAAAUAUAGAAUGGCCAGGUAAUCACUUGAAUCAUAUAAUUUGAAUCAUUUAGUUUAUAUCUUUAGAAUGAAUUGGCUAAUUGUUGUUGUUGAUGUUAUUGUUUAUGUUGUUGAUCUUUUUUUGUUGUUGUUAUUGUUACAAGAGUGAGAUAUAUUGAAAUUGAUUAAUCAUAAGCCAAAUUUACAAUAAUGGAAUCAAGACAAUAUAUGCAGUCCAAUGUUGUCUAGUCGGGGUUAGAUUCACUCAUCGACUACACCUAUCAUAUGAUCAAUAACAGAUAGUGUCGACUUUUGUUGUGAGGUGGCAGCCUUAGAUAAACAUGUUUCAUAUGUCAUUCGGAGAGAUGACCAUCACACUAGAUGAUAUAUUUAUCAUUUUACACAUAUCGAUCAUUGGAACCAUAGUUUUAGUGAAUUAUUUGUCAAUUGAUAAGGUAAACACACUAUUGGUGAAGUUACUUAAAGUUUUUAUCUAUAACAGUAGUAGAGACUAAUAAGUUCAGGGACUUUUAAAGUUGUUAUAGGUGCAUCAGAGGAUGAGGUGAUAAUUUAUGCAUCUCGAGCUUUUCACUCCAUUUGUUAGAGUAUACGAUAUUUGUUAACAAAGACCAUAACAGGAAUGUUAGUAGCAUACUUAACCCUACUAACCGACAUUACUGCUAUGGGUAGAUAUGCUUAGGGGACAGCUUGCCUCACUUACUUGUAUAAGCAGCUUGGCAUUGUGAGUAGGGUAAAUGUUCAUCAGAUCGUUAGUUAUCUGAUACUUCUUCAGAUAUGUAUUUGUAAUUAGUCAAAAACAUAUUGUAAUUAUUUGUUUUACUUAUUAUUACUCAUAUAUGUUAUUAUAUGAUUAAAUAUUACUCAAGUAUUUCAUGUAGGUAUGAAUUUAUAACCACUUUCUAUCAUUAAGCCCAAUAGAGAUAUUGACAUACAUAAACGAUCUACCAUGUACUUGAUGAUGAAAGGCUUGUACUUAUGUUAAUAUGUUGCAAGCUUUAUAAGAGCACUUGGAUGUGUUGAUAGUAUCUUACGUGUGCUAAGAAUCAUAUUUCAAUCGACCGAAAGAACAUCCAUUACGUGAUAUUAUAUUUUUUACUAGAUGUAUCAAGUGCAGGACAAUCAUAAAGUCAUAUCAUCCAAAAAGGGUUUUACGAUAGUUAGAAUUCAUAUAAACUAUUCCUCUGACCUUGUUGGCCCUGUCCUAUGCUGAUUGAGGAAUAUCGUCUAACCUGUGCGAUGUUGUAUAUAACUUUCUACAUCAAUAUUGAAAAAGAUGGGAUAUCCAUGUUGUACUAGCUAAAUGUCGAGGCUAGAGAUGUCGAAGACCAGAAGAGUGUUCAUCGAAUUAUGAUGCCUGGUUUGCAGUAAUUUCACACCUUCAAUUUCAAAAUCUAGAGUAUAGAUCUAGAUUCUAGGCUCAACAAGUAGAUGCUACACAUAUUAGUAUUCAAUAAGUUAUAAAUUUUAUCAUUUUAUGGUUUUUGAUUAAUUUGUGAAUUUUAAUUAUAGGUUAUCAAUACAAAUAACCUCAUUAAUAUUUUAUACCAAGCUCGACCAUAUUAUCUGUUAUUGAGCAUGUAUUGUUUAGCGGAUUAGAUUAAAGUAUUUAUGUAUAGAGAGAUAUAGUUAUCAAAAUAAAUGUUUUAUUAUCUAGGUCAUCAAUUGUAGCAAGCAGUAGCAGUCUAUCUAGACUAGCAGUAUUAUAUUAGACAUCGACUCUUGCACCAUCAUUUCAUGUAUUUAGACUGCUUAGAUUGUCUAGGCCAUUAGUGCCCAAUCCAUCCCCAAUCUUAUCGACACUGACACUUUCCAACUUGUUCAUGCCUACUCCAUCCCUAGUCCCAUUGACAUUAGCAACUUCAACUUGCUUAUGCUUGCAUCCUCCCCACCUCUAGCAAUAGUGACUACAGCAUCAUCUUUGCCUAUAAGCUCUCAUUUCUCCCUCUAAGAUGACAAUAUCAACCUUGCCAAAGAGUUUUACGUAAACAGCAGAGCCCACUUGUAUAUCUUUGAAUCAAAAGGCAUAGGAAUAAAGAUUGAUGUAUUGAUACUAUGUACUAAUGCUUUAUGUCAUAUUAUUUUUAUUUAGUUUAGUAUGUUUGUAUCAUCCAUUAUAGUAUGUUAUAUUUCUAAAAUAUCCAUUAGAUUACUUGUUCAAUAUAACACAUCCAAUUAGAUAACAUGUUUAAUACACCAAUCAUCCAUUAGACAACGUGUUUAAUACAUAAACCUUAACCAGUAAUAUAAACAGUUAACAUAUACAUUAAUAUGAUAAACAAGUACUAUAAGAAAUAAUCAAUCAACGUGUAUUAUUUCUUGAAUUGCCAUAUCAAAACUUGUACUAAAUAAUAAUUUGAAAUCUUUAAUGCAAGGUACAAAUAAAAUCUCUAACCCUUAAGCACAAUUAUAUCGAAUCAUAUGCCAAUUGCUUGCAAUAGAAGGUAUUGGUGAGAAUGGUUUUAUUAACACCUGCAUAAAAUAUGACUGUUAUUUAUAUAAUAUCAUUAACAUUGGCAUAAAAUAAAAACAAUAAAUAUAAAUAAUAAAUGACAACACUAAUUAACAGUACCUACAUAAAAUGACAAUUAUUAACAAAUCUAAUCGUAAUUACUCUAUGCUCCAAUGGUGUAGGUGAUAUAAAUCUAGUAGAAAGAUAUGUUAGGCAUUAUCUCAAACUGAUGUGAAUUAAAGGCAAUCAAAUAACCCAUAUCAGGUAAGGUAGAAGUGUCGUAUGAAGUAGAAGUGUCGAAACAUGAUAAUAUUUGUAACAAUUCCUCAACAUGCUUCAUGAAUCCAUACAAAGUCACAUAAUUGCCUUAACAUCGAUUAAGCUCUUCAAUUAAAUCUUAUUGUACCUAUACCCAAUCAUUUAAUCUCCAUCCAAGCAACCCAAUAAUAGAAUGAAAAUCACAAUAUCCAUACGUCUCAACAUCAACGAUGCUUUGUAUAUAUGGAUGUAACUCCACUGAUAAACUAUCUAAAUAUCGCAUUGUUCGUGUAUCAUAAAGAUGGUGAACAGGAAGUUUAGCAAUCUGUGUUGUCAAUUUCACUAGUUUGUAAUGGUUGGUGAUGAUGUACUAUCUUGAGCUUAUAACACAAUCUCCUAGUAUAACGGGUCACAUCGUGUAAAGGUACUUAUUUUCAUAGCUCUACAACUUUUUUGGCUUAGUUCUCUCUAAUGGUGGAAUCAAGGUAGUUGUUGAUAGAUCACCAAGCUCUCAUAACUUUUUUUUUUGUAACUAAUUUACCGAACUUAUCACAUUUUUGAAGCGUUUUAUAAUUCAAUCAAUCUCGGAUUGGAUAGUCAACUUUUUAAAUAUUUCAUUAUCUUGGCUCUUUAUUAAAUUCACCUUUUUCUAAUGGAAAUGUACUUUAGAUAAAGAAAUUGGACUUCCUAAGCUUAUAUGCUUUGUAAUUUUAUGAGCACAAGAUAAUCUAUACAUGCUUCUGAUCACACAAUUAUAAGCAUUUGUAUCAAUCUCAACAUGAUUAGCUUGCUUAACCUCCAUCAAUAUCAUAUUUGGUGCGCUCUUAAAUACCAAACCUCCUAACUCUUUAAAUAAUAAAAGCUUGAAAUUAUGUUCGAUAACCAUAAGAUUUCGCUCAAAUGAAGUCUUGAUCUUUGUAUGUUAGAGCUCAAUAAAUGUGUUGAUUAUUUUUCAUGAUGAUUUAAAAUCCUCUUUAGAUGAUCCAAGAUGCCUCUUUAAUUUCGCAUAUGCGCUCUCAAUCCUAAGCGAAUUAAUAAAGGUAUACUAAUGAUUUAUUAUGAAACCCUAAAAACCAUAAAUAAUCUUUACAAUGCAACAUAAAUUAUACCUAUUUGUUAUAAUAUUGCUAAAAUGCAUUACUUUAUCCAUCCAAACAAUAAUAAAUCUAUCUUUAUAUUUUGUCCACCAUUGAUUUUUCACAUACUUUAUUGCAAUUAGAUAAGUUUGAAAAUCAAUUUCUAAUAAACUUAAAUGCUUUUCAUAUCCAUCAUCGAUAGAUGAAUACAUAAGUACACUAAAUAAAUAUAAAUGCCUCAUAUUUUUCUUUUCACUCAAACUUUUUUUACAAUUCAUAAACACAUUUUUUAAGAUAUGCAAUCUACACAGAAAAUUGAUCAUAUUGGAAAACACUACUUUUAUAACAUUCAUCAAUGUCAACUAACUAUUAGUAACAAUGACAGUAGGAAAUUUACCAUAGGUAUCAAAAUUUUUAACUUGUCUAGUGCUCGAAUGUAAUUUUUAAAAUGCUUGGCCUUCAUGUACACAAAUACAAUAGAAAAUGUCAUCUUAGUAAAAAUCACACCAAUAAUUUCAAGCAAUAACAUACUGUACUUGUUCAUUUUAUAAGUGCAAUCCAUAAUUAAGACAUUUGAAAAGGCUUGCAAUAACUUUACACUAGUAGGAUAAGCCUAUAAUAGGUCUUUCACAUAGUUAUUUGACUUGUUAAUUUUAUGCCACUCUAAGUAUUUUUAUGAUUUGUUACAUUUGUUAUCUAUUAGCAUCUCAACAUAUUUGUGUCUUUGAUAUUCAUUAUAUAUUAUUUUCAUAGUGUAAACAUUCUUCUUAUUAUGUUGUUUUAUGGUCAAUAGUAUGUUCCUAGAUCUAACCAUACUAUUUGACAUAUAAGUAACUAUUUUUUUUUAGUUAAUCAACCUACAAAUGAAUGUCCCUUUAUUUGUUUUGUUGGUAGAUGAUUGUGAAAUCCAUAGACUACUUUCAUGCCUCACUCAUCAUCCAUUACUAACUUAAUCUCAAGUAACUUAGAUGGGUAAUCGUAAUUUUUUAUUCACGUUCUCUUACGUUACAUUUUUUUUUACAUUGCCUUUAUUCUUUUGUUAUUUGUACUUUUCACUUUUUUUACAUGUCAACCUUUUUUUUAUGUUUCCUCAAGCCUUCCAUCUCUGACUUUUUUGUCAUAAUUACAAUAUCUUAAUCUUUUCUAACAUGCUUAGCCCAUGAAAUCAAAAUUUUUCUUCUAUAAAACAAUUGCAUAACAUAUUUAACUUAUUAUGUCUAUACAAACUAAUAUUCGAUGCAUUCCAAUAACACUAAAUCUCAAAAACAUAAUUUUACCUUUUCUGUAAUAAAUGAAUUCAUGCAAUCAUAUUUAGUAUUUAAAUUUUUUUAUGAUUGAUCCCAAUCUAUUAGUGCAAUUUUCAAAUUGAUCUACAUUUCACAAUAUGUUAAAAAAUUAUAAUUAAAAGAAGUAUACAAUUUUAAAAAAAUUUUGAUGUAUUUUUCAAAAAUGAAUUUUUUAGAGUACAACAUAAUUUUCGAAAAUUGCUUGAAAAUGAAUUUUUGAAAAUUAUGUUGUACUUUUUAAAAUCCAAUUUUGAAAAUAUAACAUAUUUUUCAAAAAUAGAAUUUUCAAAAAAUAUGCUAUAUUUUCGAAAAUGAAUUUUCGAAAACAUAAAAAUUAUAAGCUCAACUAGAUUGAGAUAUCAUUACCUCGUUAAGCUCGUCUUCCUCAUUAUUGUUUCUCAUUUUUUAAAUCUAUUUUUACACAAUUUAUAAGAUUUAACAAAGAUUUCAAAUUUUUUAUUUUAAUUUCAAUAAUUUAGGUUUUGUAUUUGAGAAAAAAGGAAGAAAAAAAAAAGAAAAGAAAUGUGAGUAAAUGAAGUGUAAGGAAGGUAAAAUUAUAAUUUAUUAAUGGAUAAAAUUAGUAUUUUUAUAUAGGUAUUUUUGAAAAAAAAAAAGAUGGGAUAUAAAGAGGAUUUUUAGUGAUAUGUUUAAAAGUUCCUUUACAUAUGAUUAAAAGUAGUUUCACUAUUCAGAUACUGUUCAUCAAGGCUAACAAUUAUAUACCAUUUGUUAGAUUUUGAUUGAUAGGUUUUUACAUUGAGUUAACUCUGAUUCAUUAACCCACUGAAUUAACUCAUUCAAUAAUAAAACUCUACCUCUUUAACCUAAUUCAACCGAAACAAUCCUUUACUAGCCUUUGCAAUCCGUUGCCACCACCCAACCUAAUUCAUACUUUUCCAUACCUUGAACUCAUUAUUAACACAACCAAAAUCUACAACACAAAUCAACCAAAACCUUCAAUAGAAAUCUACUAAAAAAACUAGCAAACCACCAUAACUAACAAUCAAAAAUUACAAAAAAAAAAUUCAUCUUUUUUUUUUUAAAACCCAAAUACUACAAACUUUUGGAAAAUCCCAUGUUAAAUAGAAAGCAAUAACCACAAUCCAAAAUAAAAACAACACAAAAAGAAAAAAAUUUAAAAAAAGAGAGAGAUUUUUAGAGUUAAGAUGUUAUUGGGGUUUUAAAAUUUAAUUUUUAAAUGAGAGAGAUAUUUUAGGGAGGAGAUAAACAUACUAGAGAUGAAGGUAUUUAACCGAAAAAAAGGGUAUUUCUUGUAUUAAAAUUGACGGAUUUGAGAUUAGAUCUAUGAAAAGUCAGUGGUUUUUAAGAAAGAAAGUUCAUAAAAGUAAAUAAGAAGAAAAGAAGAGUUUGGUAAUGUAUUUUUAGAGGUAAUCUGACAUCGAUGAACACCAAAAUCUAGAUUGUAGGAGGCUGUUAGUUUGUGUUUAGAAGAAUGAAAAAGAGUUAGAGAAAGAUGGAGAUGAUUAGAGAACGAAAAGAUGAGAAUGAAAAAAAAAGAUUUAAAAAGGUGAGAAAAUGCUAGAUUUUUUUUUUUUGCCAUCACGUGAGGGAGAUUAGCAUUUCUUUUAUAUUGAUCUUUAAUGUAUUGUCAAGUAGCUUCAUAUCUUUUAGGCCAGAACUACCAUUAGAUUGUUUUUUGUAAGACUAGUACUAGAUUGUUAAUAUCAAUAUUUUUGAAAGAAAAUUUAUCCUCUUUCUUUUUAUUUAAAAAAUAUAUAAUAUAUUGAUAGUUUUUUUUUUUUCAAGGGUCUUUCUAUUCAUACCUACAUAAUUUGUCUAAUUAGAUUAACAAAAAUGCAACACAAUUUGUUUGAUUAGAUUAAUACAAGUUCUAACAAAUAACCUUUACAAUUUUGACUAUCCAAUUAGUUAUAAUGGCAUCUAACAAUAUCAUUUAAAUAAAGGUCAAAUUAUGUUAAAGGUUCUUAUACUAUUUGAAAAUUUAAAAUUUAUUCCAUGUACAAUAAUUCAUAUAAAUUUCUUUUUCAUACUAUUUUGAUUUGAUAAUCUUAAAUCAAUCACAAAUUUCGCUAACUUUGUACCGUUAAAAUGUUGAUGUGGCAAUUGCUUUGAUCACAUAUUUGUUGACUUUGUUGACAUGAUGUUGGCUUGCUAAUAUGGUAACUUGGGUGGAUAAAAUCAAUUAUUAAAUUACGUAAAUGGUUCUUGUACUCACACGAAAUUUGAAAUUUAAUUUUUCUAAUAUAAAAACUAUUUUGAAUUUUUUUUUAUAAAUUUUCUAGUUUUCUAAAAAUAUUAGAUUUAUUUUCAUCAAUUUUUUUAUUUUAUUUUUUGAAAGUUUUUGUGUAUUUUCAAAUUUUAACAUUUUAUUUAAAAAAAUAGUUAAUUUUAUUAUUUUUUAUGUUUUGGAAUUUUUAUAAAAUUUUUCAUAUUUUUUUCAUUUUUAUGCUUUUUACAAAAAUUUUAUUAUGUUUUAUGUUUUAAAAAAAAGUUUAUAAAUUUCAAAAAAUUUUAUAUGUUUUUUUACCAUAUUUAAGUAAAGAAUAAAUCGACAUUAUAAGGUUUUCAUAAUCUAUUAUUUCUCUAUUUUUGCUAGAUUUUUAUGCUAAUUCCAUUUCAAGUAUACCAAAGAAAUAUUUAUUUAUUUAUUUAUCUAAAAACUUGCAUCUCAAUAUUAAAAAUAAAAUAUUUUUAAAAAAAUUAAAAAUUUAAAAAAUACAAAAUUUAAAAAAAAAUCUAAAAAGUAAAAGAUUAAAAUUUUUAAUUAAAUAAAAUGUUAAAAUUUGGAAACAUAAAAAAUUCAAAAAAUGAUUUUUAUUUAAAAAUUUAAAAUAUUGAAAAAUGUAAAUUUAAUGUUUUUGAAAACUAGAAAUUUUCUAAAAAAAUCAAAAUAUUGAAAAUUUCUAGAAAAUUUCUAAAUUUCUAAUUAUUAAAAAUAUUUUUUAAAAAAUAAAAACUUUGAAAAAUGAAAUUAAAAAAAAUAUAUUAAGAAACUAAAUUUAAUAUUUUUAAAAUAAUAAAAAAUUUCUAAAAUAUUCAAAAUAUUUUUUAUAUUAAAGAAACUAAAUUUCAAAUUUUGUGUGAGUUUAUGGGCUAAAUUUCAAAUUUCAUGUAAGUACAGAGCCAUUUACUUAAUUUAACAACUAAUUUCAUUUAUCCAAAUAGCCACGUCAACAAGUCAACAUAAUGUUAGCAAAAUUAACGCCCACAUUAUCAAGUCAAUGAUCACGUUAGCAUUUUUAACAGCAAAAAAUUGCUAGAAUUAGUGGCUAGUCUAAUAUUAUCAAAUCAAAAUAAAAUGAGGACUAAAUUUUUAUAAAUUACAAUAUAUGGAUUAAAUUCCAAAUUUUCGUAAAAUAUAAAAACUUCUGGUAUAAUUUAGCCAUUAAAUUAUCAUGCAUUUAAAGGUAGAGAAAAAAAAUGAAAAGGAAUUAUAAAUAAACCCUAAAAUUUUCUUUUAACACCUCAUUUCUUAAAACAGUCAAUUUUUACUCACUACACCCCAAACCUUAAAUUCAAAUUUCCAUAAACAUGCUUACACCCUGUACUUUCCAUCUUCUUUUCCCUGACUUCUCUCUUGAUUCUCUUUUUAUUCAAACCUAAUUUUUCAGAAAUAAAAACCUAAAAUCUAACUUAAAUUCAAAUGAAAUUAAAGAAAAUCAAGUUAUAAAACUUCUAACGAUAGGUAAUUAUUUUGUUUUUAUUUUAAUUCCAUUUGAUUUUGUCAUUGAAUUUUUAAAAAUUUUGGGCAAAAUCAGUACUAUAAUUCAUAGCUUCUAAAAAUGAAUUUUAGGAAAUUCUUCUUAAUAUUUGAAAAUGUAUUUUCAAAAUAUUAGAAGAACUUUUGAAAAUACAUUUUCAAAAACUUUUAAAAGUUUUUAGAUAUAAAUUUUUAAAAAUUUUUAAAGAUUUCUUGAUAUGCAUAUCUGAAAACUUAUAAAGGUUUCUAGAAAUUCAUGUUUGGAUUCCUUUUAGAUUUUUGAAAAAUGUAUGUUUGGAAAUCUAUAAAAAAUUUCAAAAAUACGUAUCUAUAAAUGUUUGAAGUUUUCAAAAAUGCAUCUUUAGAAACUUUUAAGGAAGCAUUUAGUUCACAAAAUCUAUGAUUCCCAUAAGGAAAAUGAUCCUUGAGGAACUAUCGAUUCAUGAGAAUGGGUGAUUCUUGUUGUCAUGGGAAUAUUAAAUUCCUAUAGUUGGUUUGUGAAAUAUCAAAUGAUGUAAUAAAGUCUUUUUACUAUAAUAUUUUUCAUUACAUGUGAAUAACACGUGACAAACAUUAUAAGUCCCAAAUGUUAAUUUGUCAUAUAUGUAGUUACAUAUUUAGUAUAAUUUUUUAUUAAAUAAUUUUAAGCAAAAAAAUAAAGUUUUAAUUUUUUUCAUUAUGUGAGAAAGGUGUAUAUUAUGAAGAAAAAAAUAAAAAAGAUAAUAAAGACGAUACAAGAACACUAUUUAUUAAGUAAAAAAAUGACGUAAUAUUGGACAAGCACAAUAUUUUGGUCAUUACUAACGUAAUGUUUGAAUAUUCCUUAAAUCAAUUAAAUAAAUUAAUAUUGAACAAAUAUGACGUUUUGGUCAUUAGAAAUGCAGUUGUUGACAAAUAAUCAAAAUAUUAUAUUUAACAAGCACGGUGUUUUUCAUUUUAUAAAUGUUGUAAUAUUAAAUAGGCACGAUGUUUUGCUAAUUAUAAAUGCAGCCUUUGUUUAACAAAUCAUCAAAACGUUAUAUUUAACAAGUAUGAUGUUUUGGUUUUAUAAACGUCUUAAUAUUAAACAAGCACAACAUUUUGAUAAUUAUAAAUGUAAUCUUUGACAUAUCAUCAAAACUUUAUCUUUAAAAAGCAUGACGUUUUGGUUUUAUAAAUGUCAUAAUAUUAAACAAGCAUGACGUUUAGUCAUUAUAAAUGUAGUAUUUAAUAAAUCAACAAAACCUUAUAUUUAAAAAUCACUAUGUUUUUGGUUUUAUAAAUGCCAUAAUGUUAAACAUGAUGUUUUGGUUAUUAUAAACGUAGUGUUUAACAAUUCAUUAUAUGCUUAUCUUUCCCUAAAUUUAUAUAUAUUCUCAUGUCACAUCAAUAUAUCCUCUCUCCACAUACAUCUAAACACCCCCUAUGUUGUCAUCGUUGAAUCGCAUUAUCGCCCAUAUGAAUUAUUAUUUUAGGUAAUAAACCAUUUCUCGUUGGUUUACAAUAUGAAAUAAAGAAAAAAAAAUAGGGUUUUCAAAGUUUAUGUUUUUUUAUUUCCAUUCCUUAUUUAUUUCUAAAGAUUUAAAUUUCUUAGAAACAUAAUGGAUUCUGAAAAACAUGACUUCCCUAACUAAACAUAAGAAGGACAUAUGUAAUUAACCCAUUUGGUUGACACAUCAUCUUCGAAAAAAGAAAAAGAAAAGCCAGGAAAUGAUCUAAGUUACUUGAAGCAACUAGAAAGAAAAAAAAUGUUUAGUUUAAUGCUGAUAACUAGCCUGCCUUAAGUGCUAGUCGAAAAUGGUUAGUCAUAUUGGAUGUCUCGUCUGAGAGACGAUAUGCAUUAACUACAACAGUUGGAGGAACAUUUUAGUAGAGAAAAAAGACCAAAUUUGAUAAUCAAUUGUGGUAAGUUAUAUUAAUUAAAUUUAAGUUAUUACUUCUUUUAUGUCUAUUACUUAUGGAAUGCAAUUACACUAUCUUGUUCUAAUGUAUUAUUUCAUUCUUUAUAAGAAUGUUUGAAUGUAUUUGGUAUGCAUGAAAAGGUUGUAUUGCAAUCUACUAGCCUGAAAUUCAAAGACUUUAAAGGCAUAUUAACUCAAAAAUAUAUUACCUAAUGUUGAUAACUUCAAACUUUUGGCUCAUCUCCUAGCCAUAUAUUUAGAAAUAAUUAGUAAUGUAGAAUGAAAAAAUUUUGUUUUAACUCAGUCAUCAAAUGAAUUCAGUAUAUGCAUGCAAUCUUUUUUAUAAAAAACUAUUGGAGAGCAAUGGUUAUUGAAAUUGUUUGUUUCGUAGAUUUUUAAUAUGUAGUAAUUCUUGUCCUUUUUAUUAUAAAAAAUAAAUAAAAAGCCAUCAGAAAAUAAGGCCCAAAAAAAAGUAUUACCAUAAAUUAUCAAGAAAAAGCUAUGCAAAUUUAAAGUAUGAACUUGUAAGUUUUUUCUUAUUAUGUAGUAUACACUUGGUUUAAUUUAUUUGAAAUUUAUUUAUAUUACAAAGUGAACUUAUAUUUUAAUAUGGUUGCAAGAAACAUCUAGAUCAAGUAAUGAAAUGUUAAGAUGAGAUGUUUAAAAAAAGCAUAAUCAUUAAAAACUAGAACGUGUUUUGAUUUUUUUAUGAAGCAACUAAAGAAAAUGGCUAAAAGAAUGGUAAGUUAUCUAUGUUUAUAUAUUAUAUUAACUUUUGUAAGCAUUUUAUAUUUUGAGAUAACUUAGCUUUGAGAUGCAUAUUCGAUAAAAUUAAAACUGGUGACGACAUUGAUGUGCUAACCUUGACUUUUGAUAAUAAAGAAAAACCUGACCGUAUUAAGGGUGUUGGGAGCUUUGUUUGUCCAACAACUUAUUUAAAAAUAAAAGUUAAGCUUCCUACAUCUAAGACUGCUGAAUUGACUUUUAUAGCAUUUCAAUAAAAUUAACGUAUUGCUGAAUUGAAAACAUAAUUAGUAGUUAUGAAAACUAACACAAUUGGUCGAUCAGGUAUUGAAAAUGUAGGAAAUGUAUUUAAUGAUAAAUCUUUUAAUCAAUCAUCUCAUCUGAUAAUACACGUUUUGACUUAAUUAAUUGGGUUUUAAAGUAAUUUCGAUUUGAUUUUAUAUAAAUACACAUGAAUUUUGUAUGUAACAGGUUUAGAUACUAAAUUAACCAAGUUUCACCUCUUAAUAGCAUGCAUGUGGUUUUUCAUUAUACAAAAUAUCAAUUAGUAGAUAGAAGACUAAUAGACAUGUUAACUAAAGAUGUAUUAUUUUAUUAUCCAACAGUUUUAUGGAUUGAGCAAAAGGAAAUAAUAAAACUUUGUUUAAUGAUGAAAAUAUUAGUUACAAAAAUCUUAGUGUAAAUGAGGUUAGCUUAUAUAUUCAUUAAAAUAUAGAUAAUAUAUAUUUAUUAUAUAUAGUGUAAACGUGUGAACGAGAGAUAGAUGACGAGUGCCUAUAAUUUCAUUGACCCAAGUUGUAUAUCCAGUGGAUGAGACUCUAUAUAUGAUCAUUUAGUUAUGUUGGCAUUUGCAAUGGAAAGAGUCCUAACACUUUAUCGCAGUUUAUAAUCUGUGUGUUUUCAUGAUAGACUUUAACCAUUAAUUAUUUUAUAUUAUUUUUAUAUGAAUUUGAAAAUAGUUAAAAGCUUUAAAAUUUAACAUUGUAAUCCAUACUAUUUAUUUAGGGGUUAUAGACAGUUGGUUGUAAUUAAAUAUGUAAAUUAUAUAGUUUACUUUUUUGACUCGGGAAAAUGUAACUUUAAACCAUCACAAGAAUUCAAAGAAAUAAUAAAGAAAUUCUUAUCUUUUAUUAUGAGAAAUUAAAGUUGUUAUAUUUACAGUUUAUUUGAGUAUAAUAUGCAGUUAUUAUGUUGUUGUUAUAAAGGAUUUACUAUCCGUAAUAAAAAGAAAAAAAUAAUGUGAGUUACACUUUUGGUAUGUUUAUUUAUUUUAUUUUAUCAAUUUUUAACACCAAUGUGAAAAAUACUUGACAACCCAAUAAUUAUUUAUAAGUUUUUUAUCUACUAGAAACUAAGAAUGUGGGUAUUAUGUCUUCCAUUUUAUGAAAAAAAUAAUAAAUAACGAUAUUUUGAGUACAUCAAAUAAGAUUAAUUAUUAUUUUUAAUUACAAAAAUAUUGUUAGUAUAUAGAUAAUUAUGAGUUGCAUAGUGAUUUCAUUUUCUCACUUAGUUACUUUUAGUGGGUUAAAAAGAAACAUUUCACAAAAAGAAAAUUAAUAAGGUGCAGCAUGAAUAGUGUAACUAUAUAUCCAGAUUAUAUAGUAAGGAUAAGGAAUUUGCAUUAUGUUAUACAAUCUCUUUUCUAUAUUGAUGUAAAUUAAACAUAUAAUUUUUAUCUAAGUCCAAAUUCAACAUAUAAAUAUUAUACAAGUCCAAAUAUUUUCUCUUGCUUUUCUGCGGAUCAUGUGUAAAUUUACCAUAUAUUGAUGUUUAAACAAGUCUAAAUAUUUUUCGUUACUUUUAUGUGGAUCAUGUGUUUUUGUCUAAAUUGUGUAAAUCGUUAAAUGUAAUGAAACAUCUAUUACGUAUAAGCUAUGAAAUAUAACUUGAUAAAGAUGACGUUUUGAUGUUAAAAACAUGAUUUUUGCUUGACAAAGGUGACAUUUUUAUAUUUAAAACACAAUUUUUGACAUUUUAUCAGAUUUAAAAUUUUAAAAUUGUCAAAUUUUAUGAUAACUUGAUAAAGUUGAUGUUUUUAUGUUAAAAAACACAAUCUUUGCUUGACAAAGAUAAUGAUUUGAUGUUAAAAAAUACAGUCUUUAUUAGUUUAUUAUAUUUAAAAUUGUAUUUGUCAAAUUUUAUGUUAACUUAAUAAAUAUGACGUUUUUAUAUUAAAGAACGCAGUGUUUGCUUCACAAAGAUAACAUUUUGAUGUUAAUAAAACGUAAUUUUUGUUUGUUUAUCAAAUUUAAAAUUGUAAUUGUCAAAAUUUAUAUUAACUUGAUAAAAAUUACAUUUUUAUGUUAAAAAAUGUCGUCUUUACUUAACAAAGUUGACAUUUUGAUGUUAAAAAAAUAGUCUUUAUCAUUUUAUCAAAUUUAAAAUUGAAUUUUAUCAAAUUUUAUGUUAAUUUGAUAAAUACAACAUUUUUUAUGUUAAAAAAAAAAACACAAUGUUUGUAAAAACUUUUUCAAAUUUAAAAAGGUUAAUUAUGUUAACCACAAUGUUUUUUUUUUUUUUUUGUCUUAAUAAACCAAUAUUUGUUUAAUAUUUUUUAAAUUGAAAAAAAAUAAUUAUAUAAAUUUAAAGAAGUAAUUAUAUCAUUCCAAUUUAGUUUUUCAGUUACAUAUGACUAUAAAUUGAAACAUUUAACAUUACAAAUAAAAUACAAUGUCCAUAAUUAAAAAAAAUAAUUAUAACAUUUCAACAUUACAAAUAAAAUACGAUAUCCAUAAUUUAAAAUAACUACAUAUAUCUUGAAAGAGAAAAGUCAAAUGAUGAUCCAUAAAUAUUAUAUUUAUUCAAUUGCUUCCAUAUGUAAUACUUUCUAAAUUCAUUUGAUAAAGCAAAGAAAAUAUUAACUGUGUGUAUCCCUCAAGAUAUAGUCUUCAGCAAAUGGUAUUUCAUCUCGGAAGAAUUUUGCUAACUACAUAAUUUCAUUAAAGUGCGAUAUUCAUCUAUAACUUCCCUUAGCUUCUUUCUAGAAGAAAGAUAAAAUACCUUUAAUUUCUUGUAUUGCUUUACAAUAUGUAGUCCAAUAUUGCCUAUUUGCUUCACUAAUUCAAUUAAGCCAUCGAAGCUCUUAGAACAUAUAUUGUUUAACAACAUUUUACUUGAGGCAGGGAUUAUGGCACAUGCUAAACCUUCAACUUUAUUAUCUCAAUUCUCUCAUCAUUACAAUUAGUGUCAAGCUUAUUCUCGUUAUAUUGAAAAUCAAUAUCAUCAUCACCAUAAAGUGAAUCAACAACAUUAGCUACGGUUUAAGUUCUAGCUCCAGUUGUUCUAUAUUGAUUAAAUAUCUUUGUAAAAUCAUUAAAGUAAAAAAAAUAUUUGUUCUUCAAACCAUUGUCAUAGGGGUGAAUCUAAACAAAGUUAAAUUAAAGAGAUUUAAUUAUAUGUAUAAAAUAUUUUGACAAGAAAUAAACAGUUAAAAUAAAUUUUAUUUACAUGUUAACUAUUUAGCAUAAAUAAAAUCAAAAUACAUUUGUUAAAAUUUACUUGUGGCGGCUAUCAUAUCACAAAUAGCAUUAUAUUAUUUUUUUAAUAAUUUAACCCUUGACUCAAUAUGUGGAUUUGCCUUUAAUUGUGAUUCAAAAAUUUUAGCCUUUAACAUCAUUUCAAAUUGUUCUAGAUACCUAACUAUGAAUAUUUCAUUAUCAGCUUUCUAUCUAGAAUCUUUUGCUAGUAUAUGUAAGCAUUAGAUAAAUGUGGUAUCCUCAACCUUUGUCCAUGUGUGAUUACCGACAAAAGUUUAUUUUCUUUUUUUAUUUCUACUUUUUACAUUCAUAAUGGAUGACAACAUAUUAAUAUCCUGAUAAUUUAGUUAUACAUCAUUUAACAAAUGCACAUCACAUCAAAAAUCAAUGAAGAUAAACCAAUAUAAAGAUGGAAGAAAACUAAUAGACAUGAUAACUAAAUAAAUAUUAUUGUAAACAAUAGUCAACUACAUUGUAUACUCAAUAAUAAAACAAAUAGGAAAACAAAUAUAAAACAAAUAUAGAAAGCAAGUAGUACACUCAACAUAUCGUACACUCAAAAAAUAUUAGCAAUCCAAUAGAAAAAAAUUAAACAAAUUAUCCUUAACCAUUGGAUUGUAACUAAUUCGUGAACAUCUUCUCUAUCAACUUAUCUCUAAACUUAAUCCAAGCAUUAUUUGGCUUAAUGUGUCUAAUCAAAUCUUAAUGAUUAUCACCUUCAGCUUGGUUACUAUUUAUUUCAUCAACAUUACCUUCAAUUAGGUCAAUUAACAUCCCAAACCUAACAAAAUUUUAGAAAAGGUAAUAAAUAGAAAUAAUUCUAUACUAAGUUUUAAUUCGACAAAAUGAUUUCUCCUUUAAAAUCGCUUUAUCUAACUUUCAAUAUAUGAAAACAUUUUUCAAUAUAAUUUUUUCUUAAGAGUGUUUUAUAUUGAAAUAUUCCUAAGGUGUGGUAAAUUGCUAUCCUGGCCUCUAAUCAUUCAAAUGAUAUCUCUCACAUUUAUAAGGUAUCAAAAAAUCUUUCCUAUUUAUGUAUCCAACAUCACUCAAAUAGUAAAAAUCUAAUCCAAUGUAACAAUGUAUUAAUAUACAUUUAAAAUGCAUUCCAUGGCAUAAAUAAAAUCAAAAUAUAAAAGCUAAUUCCUUGUGCCAUUCUCAAAUAAUUUUUACAUUUAACGACAUCCCUUAACACUCUAUUAUCUAUUGCAGAAUCUUUCUAUCCCGAUAGAACAAAUGAAUUGCAUGUUUGGUGUGCAAAGACUAAGAAUGCUUGUAACAAUUUCAUUUUUCAUAGACUUGUAGCUAAGUCUGUUAAUUGAAUCUACAUUCACCCUUAUGUAAGUUUUAUCUAAGGUAUCUAAAUAAUCUUAAACCUAAAAACUCUUAUUAAUAUAUUCAUAUAUUAUACAAAAUUGAGAUUUAUUAAUAUUUAUUUAGAGCCAAUAAUGAUUAAUGCAUUACCUUGAGCCAUUUUCAUCUAUUAUCUAUUGAAUUUUUCGCUAUUAGUUUUAGUUUCUUAAACAAUAGGAAAUACAAUCUCAAAAAGGAUUUUCACACAGCAUGAAAUUAUUUACUAAUUAUCUUUUCAGAUCUAAAUACUUGACACUAUAUAACCUUUUUUUUGUAUGAUGGGCAAUGACGUAAAAAAAAUUAAUAACUAUUUCUUCUAUUGACAUAUUUUUAUAUAUCUUUAAUCUUUCUUAUGUUUAAAGCAACUAAUAUAAUUUUGCAAAAGCUCUCUUAUCCAUUUUACAAUUAUCCACACUUUGUAUAUCACUUUCAAAGACCAUUUUUGUUUAAGUUUAAUGAUUUAAUCUAUAGCUUCAAGAGUUUCAUCAACAUAAGAGAUCCUACGUCUUUUUCUAAGUUUCAUAGCAACUAAUGUCACAGUAAUAAUAAACAACGGUUGAAACAUACUCUUCAUUUGAUUUAUUCACAAAAGAAGCACUAUUACCAAUUGCAUUUUCUUUUUUUAUUAAUAAAUGAUCUAUAACUACUUACAAAAAAGAUUUUUAUUAAUGUGCGUUUGGUAGAUCAAGAUCUAAGUCACAUCUAACAAAUAACAACUAGCAAAAAAACAUUUGAGUAGAUCAAAAUCUAAGCCAAAUCGAACAAAUAACAAAUAGUAAGAAUACAUAUGAUAGAUCAAUAACUUUUAAGUCAAAAUCUAACCUAGAUCUAGCAAUAUAGUAAGAAGAUAUCUGACGCAAACAAAUAAUACAAAACUCAAAAACAUAAAUCGAUCAUACAAAUCGAGAGUAGAUUGGCCAAAUAAUGAUAAAGAUAAGUGAAAUUGAAACGAAUGAAGUUGAAAUUACAAAGCUGAAAGAUGAUGUUGUGUGAAAAAAAAAAAAGGCUACGAUUUAGGGUUUGAAUAGAGCUUUAGGUUUGUCAAAACUGAAUAGCUAUGCAACAUUAAAAUAGGAGAACAAAAAUAAAUAUGUCAAUUGCUACGUUUCUAAAAUAAAAAAACGUUGUUGAUAUCACAUAAAUAUUUAUUUAUUUUAUUAUUUUUUAUUUUUUAUUAUCAACUACAUUUUAUAUGUAAAAAAAUGAUCAUUACUAGUGAUAACUAAACAAUUAUUACGUUUUACUAAUAAUUACGUUUUUAUAACAAAAAAUGUUAUUGAUAUAAAGAAAUAUAUUAUUUACUUUGGUUUUAACUACAUUUUAUAUGUGAAAAACAUUAUCAAUUCUAAACAAUCGAUUAUUAUGGUUAACCAAUAACUACGUUUCUAUAACAAGAAACAUAGUCAUUGAUAUAGAGAAAUAUAAACCAAAAUUUAGUUUUAUCAAUUACUGCAUUUUUAAUAUACAAAACCUAGUUAAAAACAAAAUAAAUAUUAUAUUAUAUUGACUCUACCAAUAGCUACAUUUUUAUAUAAAAAAACAUUAUGUUUUAUUAAUUACUACGUUUCUAUAUUAAGAAACGUUGUUGAUAUUGAAAAUAUAAAAUUUAUUUUAUUAUUAUUUUCUACGAUUAGCUAUAGCUAUGUUUCAUAUGUUAAAAACAUAGUGCUUCUGAAACUAUAAAAAAAUUUCAGAAUCCUAAUUUUAAAACAAUCUAUUAAAAUUUUCUUUUAAAAACAUUACUUUUAUUAUAAUUUAUUUUUUCAUAAUAUAUUAUAACAUAUGACUAUAUUUUUGACAUAAUAAUAUCGUGUACAUAAAAAUUUUUGAUUUAUUAAAUUUUUAUACAUCCUUCAACUAUGUUUAUAAUUUAAAAAAUGUUUGUAUUUUUUAAACUUUAUCAAUUAAAAACAAAUAUUUAAAUUUAUAAAAAUUCAAAUGCACAUGAUCAUUACCAGGUGUCCAAUCAUAUGACUAGAAAUAUAAUUUUGAUAAAUUGUGUGGUUAAGAAUACAAUUUUAUGUGUCAUAAUGGAUUUCGAUUUAUCAUACAAUUAUGUUGAUUUUUAAUAGUAAAAUAGAUGUAAAAGUUAUCAUUAAGGUAGAAAAUAGGACAAAUUUUACAUUCCAUUAAAAAUUUUGAAAAAUCUUAGGGAGAUAUGAGUUUUUUAUUCAAGACUAUACCCUUCUUUUAGACUUAAAAUAAAAUAACUUGACACCAAAUAACAAUAUAAACCCAGCUGGACUCACCUGGAACUCAAUUAAAGCCUUACAUUCUGCCAACGAACCAUAAAUAAGUCAUUUAGAGCUUGAAAAUAAUUUUUGUAAGUCUUUCGGACCUUGAAAAUAAUUUUUAUAAAAUUUUGUAUAAAAUAAGGUGUUUACAAUUAAAUAAAUUAACAUUGAUGUCAGACAAUAAUCAUAAAAGUUAAGAAGAUGGCUAUUUUUCUAAUUGACAUUUUGAAAUAAGAAAACAUAGUAAGUAUUAAAAAAGACGAUUGUUUUUGCAAUAAAACAUAAUUUUUUUCUCAAAAAGUAUUGUUUUUAUUUGUUAAGGGCAAAUAAAUUUUUAAUCUAAUUUUUUUCAUAUUAUAUUUUCAAUAAAAAUCAUGUUUUUAAUUUUUAAAAGAUGUUUUUGUUGAAACUAUAGAGUUUAAAAAAUAAAAUUUUCUCUUAAUAUAUUUUAAAUUAAGAUAAAAAUGUGAUCUAUGUUAUAUUUUUAAUAAAAAUCAUAUUUUUAAGAAGAAAAAUGUGAUUUUUGUUUAAAUUAUAAAAAAAUAAAAUAUAAUUUUUUUUCAUAAUAUAUUUUUAUAAUAUUUUAUGCCAAAAAUUACGUACAAGUAUAGUACAAGUAUUGUUUUUAAUUUUUUAUUUACUUUAAAAAUAUAUACUAAACAUAAAAAAAAUUUUUUUUGACCAAAUUAAUCAUAAAAAAAAGUACACUAGAAAAGAAUGAGUGGCUCUAAAUAUGCCACUCAAUUUCUGCACACUCCAACUUAUUUCUUUUAAAAAUAUUCAUAUAUAAAAUAUCAAUUUUAUUUUUCAAAUAAAUUAUAAUUUUACUUUAUUUAUAUUUAUCUUUUAAGGUUUUUGAAAAUUUAUUUUUGAGAAGUAUGAUUUUGACAAAAAAUUUUUUACACCUAUUCACAAUUCAUUCAAUGUUUAAGGCUCUAGAAAAUUUAUUUAUAAGAAGCACAAAGAAAGAACUUUUGUAAAAACCAUAAUUUGUGUACAUUUCAAUCAAAUUAAUAAAAAAAAUCUUGAAAUUUUACUAAAAAAAUUUAUGAUUUAGGAAUUAGUUUGAUGAUUUUAGAGUUAAGUUUGGAUUAAAUUUAGAUUAAAUUUAGAUUAAAUUUAGAUUAAGAGUGAAAGAACAAAGAAGAUAGUAAAAAGAUUAAGAAGAGAAAUGUGAUAUUAUUAGGAUAGAGUGCAUUUAGAAGAAAUAAAAAAUUAUAUUUUAUUUUAACUAAUUAUCUAUUAAAUAAGUUAAUAUAUUAUUAGAGUUGAUAUUUAAAAUUUAUAAAUUUAAAAAAAUUUAAAUACAUAAUAUUUUUUUAAUUAAGUAUAUAAUUAGAUAGUAGAGGUUUACGAAUAAAUUAAGAACUUUAAAAAAAAAUUUAUAUUGUAAAUAUAAGAAUGUAAAGAGUUUGUCUUUUAGUGUAAAUAGAAUUUUUCAAAAAAUAAUUAACACAAUCUCUUUCUAAGAUUCUGUGUGCUGACUCAAAUCAACAUCUCUUUCACGUUUUCUUUUUCAGCGCAAAACCCAGCCAACCCUCCCCCGCAUAAACUAUUAACGGUUUUUUUUUUUCUUUUUAUAAACAAAAACACUGAAGAUCCUUUCUUUGUCAAUCCUAAUUCUGUGUUUAUCCUAUGGAAUCUCUUUCAAAUUCAGUGUUCAUCUCUAAUCUACCUGAGACAUACCCAUUUCUCAACACCCACUUACCUUCUUCUUGUUUGAUCAAAUCGCCAAAUAAACGGCUCGGGUCUCUGAAAUUCAACUCUGAAAUCUCUUAUUUCCAUGGGUUUCGUCUCCGAGCUCUGUCUCGUGAGGUUCCCGGUGAAGGCGAAGACCAGCCGCCGCCUCUUUUCCUCAAUAAUGGGUUUGGCUUAGUUUCUCAAGAUAGUCGCUCUGUAUCUAAGGUACUUUAAAUUAAUUCUGUUUCUCUUUUAUUUACUUAUCUUAUAUUUAUGUAAUAUUUGCUUUUUUUUUGUCUAUUCUUGUCUGAGAACAUUAAGAAAAAGAUUACAUGAGAAUCCUCAUUAACUUUCGGUUAAUGCAACUGUGUAUGAAUGAUUAAAAAUUCAUUUUUUGUGGAUAGCAGAAUGCUUGGUUUUAAUUUUCAUUUUAUGUUUGAAUGUAUGUUAGAUUUGAACUGUUUCCUCACCUUUAAUGAAAAAUGAAUUUGCUUUUUUAGCGACUCUUGAGAAAGAAAAAGCAAAUAGCCAAAGGAAAACCAGAUGAAACUUAAGAGGUUAAAAAAUUUUCAAAUCUAAAGUGCCUAAAUUUUUCUUUAAAUGGUUUGAUAAGGGUGUGGGGUGUGGAUGAGACUAUGUUUUAUGAGUUCGUAGCUCUAGCAUGAUCUUUGGAACCCUUCUUUUUUUCUUCUCUCCUGGUUGACAAUAGCACUUGUUGGUUAUAUCAAGUGUCUACUUUGACUCAGUAUUAAUAGUAUCUCUCAUGUUUUAAAGGGUGAUUCAAAUCACAAUAAAAGUGGCGAAAAGGAUGUAGAAAAAUUUAUAAAGGUUGAAACCCCUGGUACUGUCCAACCUGGAAGUGGAGCAAGUGGGGGUACAAGAGCUGGGCUUUUCAGAACCCCAAUAUCUGGUGGAGUGCAGAGUGCAACUUCAGCGCACGGGUUACCUCCACCGGCCUUAGCAGUCCGUAAUCUGAUGGAACAAGUAAAGGCUAUUAUUUGAGUUCUAAAUACUGUCAUAUCUUGAAAAGUGGAAAAAAGAAAUAGAAGAUUCUAUCUAUUCUCUUUCCCUGUGUUUCCUUUGCAGUUUUAUUUUAAUUUAAUAGUCCUGAAUUUAUUGACCUCUGUAAUUUAAGGCCAGAUUUGCUCAUUUAUGCACUGUAAUGUCUCGGAUGCACCACCGACGAGAAGGGUAUCCUUUUGGCUCCUUGGUAGAUUUUGCGCCAGAUUCAAUGGGUCGUAAGUAGUUGACUUCUGAAGUUCUGUUAUUUGGUUACUUUUGGUUCCAACGUAAAUGUUUUACAUGAACAUUUAUUUAAACUUUUUUUUUCUUCUGUUAACGUUUUAUUUUGAAGUGAGAGAGCCUUUGUAACUAUGUGCUUAUCCUUUAAAAAAGCAGCAUACUUUCUUUGCCUAAAAAUUGGACAGCUGUGUAAACAGAAGCUGAUUUUGUGCAUCUCUUUUUUUUUUUUUUUUCCAAUUUGCAGAUCCAAUAUUUUCAUUUUCGCCUCUAGCCAUCCACACAAGGAAUCUAUUAGCAGACCCCAAGUGCACCCUUGUCGUGCAGGUUAAUUCUUGUGAUCCUUUUACUCUGAUGGAAUAUCUGGCUUAGUUAUUCUCCAUUUAUGGAAUUUAUUGACAUUUUGGUUUACAGAUACCUGGAUGGAGUGGCUUAUCAAAUGCAAGGGUAACGAUAUUUGGCGAUGUCUACCCACUUCCCGAACAUGAACAGGUGGUCACCUAGGUCUUUCUUUUUGGUGGUGGGAGGGGGAGGGGUGGGAAGAGGGAUAAGUAAAUAUAGGGUUGGGAUGCUUACUAAAAAAAGGUUGAGACUUCUUCUUUUUCCUUGAUGGGAUCAUGUCUUUAUGGCUUUACAAAUCGCUGUAGUUCUGUUGCCUUGGAAUCUCCUUGUCGAUUAGCUUUCAGAAGAUUUCUAUUUGGAGGAAAAUCCAUUUCCUGACCUUUUAAAGAAUACAUAAUUUGUAUAAUUUUUCCUCUUGUUUUUCCCCUUCUUCUCUUUGAUUGCAUGUUUAGAGGUUAUCCUUUAUCUCUAGGCUCCACUAAAUGUCUGCCAUGAUUUGUAUUAUGCAUAUCUAUAUAAUUUCUGCCUAAAUUAUGCCUCAACAAGCUGGUUAUUAUGCUAGGAAUGGGCUCAUAAACAGUACAUAGCAAAACAUCAACAAGGGCAAUCACAGCAGUGGGGGAAUUUCUACUACUACAGGAUGCAGAACAUAAGGUUUGCUUUGGUCUAUAGUUUUUCUCAUUUCUAAUGCCAGCUAAUAUUUCCUGCUUAGAGAGACUGUGGGCUAAUUCUUUAGGCAUUGCAUCUAUCUAUGACCUUUUUUUCUUGGUGAUAGUUUUGACUGGAAAAUUUUAAUAUCUGUUUUGGAUUCAUGCACAUCUUAUAAUAUUUAGUAGAGGCUAAUGUCUCAAAAGCACCAAUUAGAAAUUCAUGUGUUUUUUUUUUUUUUUGGGGGGGGGGGGAAGGUGGUGUCCAUAGUUUGGCUGUCCUCUGCUGCCUUAUUGUUGGUGUCCUUGCUUACAAAAUGUGAGGAUAGUUUCCAAGCUACUAGUGAUUUUACCUUGCCCUGGUCAAGCUGAAUAGUUGUUGGUUUACGUGUGAACUGAGAUAGAGGUUUUUCAUAUAUGACUGCAUUUUUUCCCUUAAUAAUAUUUACUGUAAGUAGAAAACAGCUUUUGAUGUUGUUUCACUGAAUUUUUAGAAUCAAUGCUUGUCAUGCUUGUAUAUUUAGUUUGUGUUUUACUACCACAAGCUUUGGUUUAACUAGAGAUGACACUUGAGAGAGUUGCAACUAGUUUUUUUCUUCCUUGUUUGCCUUAAAAGACUGUUUUCUGUUUAAAUCACUCAUGCGGGUUGGUAAGAUUCUCUUUUUCUUCUCCAUAUGGAAAGUUGAUUCUUGUUUCCACUUCAUCCGUCAAAUCCUAAGAAAACUCUUGCACAAAUCUAUAAUGUCAAGUGUACCUCUCAUCCAUACAUCUAAAACUUAAAAAAUCUUUCUGGUUGUCCUAUUAGCGAAAAUAUCAACAUUUUAAAAACUGGACCUGUUAAAGAACUGGUAAGGUGACAAAUUCUAGUUGAAACAGGUGGUUUAAAUGCUUCUUCAUUAAUUUAUUCCUUUUGUUUUAAGUGUUUUCUUCUUUCAUUUUUUAGUUUUGUAAAGCUUUUGAAAGUUAAUGGACUUAGAAAUAAUGCAAGAUACUGAAAGAAGCAAUGAUGCGAUUGUGGGGAGUGCACCCUUAAGAUUGCCUGAGGAGGAGAUUAUUUCUAAGCAAAGCUUGCAGUUACCCCUGACUAUAUUACCAAAGAAAAUAAAAAACUUUCAAAAGCCUUACAAAACUAAAAAAAAUGAAAGAAGAAAACACCUGAAAAAAAAGAAAUAAAAAAAAAAAAAACGGUGUUUGAACUGCCUGGUUCAACCUGAAUUGGUCACAUUACCAGUUCUUUGAGCAGUCCAGUUUUAAAAACAUUGUUCAUAACUCCUAGUCUUGGCUUUCAAGGAAUUCUUUGUGUGAGGUAUGCUUGUGGCAUCAUGAUCCAGUUUGGUCCUGUUUGCCAUGCAGCCAUCUAAAUUUUCUUGCUCUAGGGAUGUCAAAUCAGUGUUUUGUUCAAGGAUAUAGUUCUAUUCUAUUCUAUUUUUCUUUAUUCCCUCUUUGAUAACAUAAAUUGGCUGGACAUGGAGAAACAAAGAAAAUCCUGUUGUGGUGUGUGUUUUGAUUGUUAUUUUCCUUGUCUUGUAUUAUCUACCUUAGGACUCUGGGUUUCUAUAUAACAUAUAUAACCAUGUAAAAUAAUGUGAUGGUUUCAGAUUUAGAAGUCUGAUUAGCGGUGGGAUAAAAAAUAACCAGUUAACAAACUAUUUCCCAUUUUUUCUCAUUUCUUUCCUACUAGUAAUUAUAUUAAUAUUUUCUAAUAUUUUGCACUUAUAUAAUAUGUCAUGCGAUGCACACAAUGGACAUGUUUAUUUAUCAAAAUUUAUUUUCAGUGACGUAUAUUUCAUUGGAGGAUUUGGCACUGUUGCGUGGGUUGAUGUCAAGGAAUAUGAGGCACUUAAACCCGAUAAGAUUGCAGUUGAUGGAGGUGAACAAAAUCUGAAGGUGAACCUUCUAAAUUCUCAAAAUCUCAGUUUUCCUGUUGCAUGGUAUUCUAUGCUAUAUUUUUUUGUGUUUCUUUUCUCUUAACUGUGCCAGUGUGGCUGCUGCUGCCACCAAAAGUGGUUCUUUGUUCUUUCCCAUCGAAGUUCUCAAUCUACUAAUCCAUUUCUUAUACAUGUGCUCCAAUGCAAUUUGUAAAUAUGCCCAUUUUUGGGAUAAUUUGGAUUUUAAUUUGCUUUUACUAUAGGAACUCAAUGCAACCUUUUCAAAGCCCCUCAAAGAGCUGUUAUCAGCAGAAGCUGAGGUUGAUGAUGCGGCCAUCAUAUCAAUAGACAGCAAGGGAAUUGACAUUAGGGUCCGUCAAGGUGCACAGGUAUCAUUUAUUCCGUAUGAUGACAAUUGACAUGUGGAAGGUGUGGGUAGGGGUGAUAAAGGUUUGGUUAUUUUGGUUAAUGUAUAAUAUAAUGAAUUUUCAAAAUUCGAUUUGAAUCCGAACCUAUUUCCUUAAAAAAUUGAAUUGUAUCGAGCCAAAUUAAAACAUAAAAUAGCCAAACUUAAAUCAAACAGAAUAAGAGAAAAAUCGAUCCAAAUAUUACAGUUUUGAAUCGGUUGUUAGUUUUUUUGGUUUUUUUCUCACCCCAAGGUGUCGUGGUUUAUGCUAGUUUUAUAUAAUUAUGUUCAAAUCUUUACAGUUUAACAUACAGAGGUUAUCGUUCGAAGAAGGGCAGGCUGUUGAAAAAUUAGAGGAAGCCAAAGCUGCUCUGCGGAAAGUAAUAAAGAGAGGCCAAGUGCACAAUCUGAAGCGAUAGAAGUCGCAUUUUUGGCCUUUAUAUGGGAGCAUAAUGCGAAACGAAGGACAUCUCGGCCAUCACUGAAUGUGAUAUUAUAGAGGACGUUGUUAUUAUACAUAAAGUUUGUAAUUCCUUUUGGUUGUAAUUUCUAAAAGGAUUGUUCCCCACAUUUUUGUUCCAGCAUAUGUUUUUGUUAGAAUAAAAGUAAGAGUAUGACUUGGAACUUAAUGCAAAGCCACAUUUCUUCCAUGCUGGUUUUCCAGAAAUUUUGGGAGGAUUUCCUGGCGGUACUGUUAUGGUCAAUGCUUGUGAUUGAGUCAUUUAAAAUAAGAGGUUCCAAGGUGAAAGUUCCGGGUUCCCAAGAAAGGAGAGGCAGGAAUUAUGUAGGGUUGUAAACUAUAAACUAAUUGCAUAUGAAUAGCAUGUUCGUUGAUUUUUAAAGUUGUUCGUGUUUAAUAAAAAAUUUAUUUAAAUAUUAAAAUAUUUAAGUUCGAUUUAGAAUCGAAUCAUUUAAAUUUAAUGAACUUAUUCAUAAAUAGUAAAUAAAUAUAUUUAAAAAUACAUAAAUAAAUAUAAAUUAAUUACUAAAAUUGAUCUUGCAAACUAAUAAGUUAGGCUACAAGGAGUGAAAGGGACAUGUUUACUUAUAAAGAAUUUCUUUCUCCAUAGUGAUUUUUGAGGCUACGUGGGAUAGAAAAAUUAUAAACAAAGUAUUUUCUAUAACUUGUUUAUCGUCCAUUUUAAGCCAUCGAAAAUUAUAUUUUUAAUAAUAUUUUAAAAAUAUUAUGAAAGAUUUUUAAUGUGUUAUGUGUAUUUUUUAAUAUAUUAAUAUUAAAAUAUGAUUAAAAUUUUAUUAAAAGAUAUUUAAUUAUAAAAUAAUCAUAUUAGAAGAAAUAAAAAUAAAAUAUUGAUAAAUAUUGAUUAAAUUUAUUCACGAACAUUAAAAUGAAUUUAUUCAUAAAUAUAAAUGAAUGAAUCGUAUUUUUAUUCGUGUUUAAUUCGUUUAUUAAACGAAUAUUAAUAUAUCAUUCAAGAUCAUAUAUUAAGUUUAAUAAAUAAAUAUAAACAAAGUUGAAUAUAUUUAUAAAAAAUUCAUCGAAAGCUUUAGUUACUCUCUUAAGUAGAAUUUAUAAGAUGAAAAAUAGAAUAACUCUCGGUGUGAGAUACUUAAUUUUAAAGGUAAACAAAGAAAAUAAAAUGAGUGAAGUAAAGGGUAAAGUUAGAUAUAAUAAUUUUAGAUACAUUAUAAAAAUGAUAUAAAAAAUAUAUGAAAUUGAUAUGAUUUAAAUUUUUGACAAAAAUUUUAUAUGAAUUUAAUAAAAAUAAAAAAAAUAUGUUCUAUAUGUAUGUAAAUAUGAAUUAUAAUAUAAUAAUUUUAAUAUUUUAUAUAUAUUUAAUACAAAACUGAUAAAAGUAUCCGUAUAUUACGUGAAUUGUUGACAGGUCAAGAUAAAGCUGAUACGAGUCACUGGAGAAAUUAUUUCUGUGCAAUCUUUUUCUGUACAUCGGCAAGUUUCAAAUCCUUUUCUCUUAUGGAACGCUACAAAAUUGCAUGCUAUCACGCUGACAUUUUGCCGCGGUUACACAUUUCGUUUAAGUAUUACUUUAUCAAGCAUUAGGAAAUGUAGCUUGCUAUCAGUGAAUUUUGCUAAAUGUACAGAUGAUAAAGUCAACCCGAAUUUGAAAAAAAAAAUAAUCGAUUCGAAUUUGAUGUUUUUUAAUAUAAGUUAUUUUUAAUUUAAACUCAAUCUAAUUUAAUUUGAUUGAAAAAAUUAAUUAUUUGAAUUUGUUUAACUUAAAUUCAAAUUAAUUCGAAUCAUCAAAUGGUCAACAUGAGAGAUUAAUCCAAAAUAAUUUACAAUUAAAUUGAUUAGAUUUUAAAACUCAAUAAUUUGUGUUAAUAGUUUUGAGAAUCGUUAGACGAAUUUUAAAAACACAAUGAAUCAAAAUUUAUUAAAAAAUAAUUUUUGAAUCAACGAAAAUAAUUUAAGUUUAAGAGUAUAAUUAAGUGUGAGGAAUGUGAUUAGAAACCCCACAACAUCCGUUUUAAAAAGAUAUCAAUUAAUUAUGAGUUAUUUUUUAAUCUUGUAAAAAAUAUCUUAAUUUUGAUAUUUAAAAUUAAUUUCCUUAAAUCUCUUUUUAUUAUAAAAAUUUUGGCUUUUUUUUUAUUAUGAUUUUUUAUUAUUUCAUUUUUUCACAAAAUUUUCUCUCUUUUUUUAUUCUUUUAAAUUAUUAUUAUUCCAUUUUAUUUAAAAAAUAAAUUAAAACCUUAUUAUUGAAAAACAUCUUAAAAUGUUUCAGUACAUUGGUAACAUUGAAAAAAAUUUUCUCAUUUAGAGAUUUUAUAAGAAUCACUACGUAGAUUUUCUUAAAAUCUCAUCAGAGAUUUGCAUAAGAUAAUAUUUAUGCAUACAUAUGUACUCUUUAUUUUAUUUUGUUUUGUUUCAUUUUAUUUACUUAAAAAAACUAUUUGUUCAUUUUUUUAAAAAAUGUGCUUAUUAAUUUUUCCUUUUUUCUUACAUUUUUUUUAAUUUUUUCCCACAUUUUAUGCAUUUUUUAAUGAAAGAAAAAAUAUUUUUUUUUAUAAAUAUUCUAAUAUACUAGUGAUAUUUUAAAAAAAUAUUCUAAUUUAAAGAUUUCAAAGGAAUCACUACACAGAUAUCCUUAGAAUCUCAUUAUCGAAAAAAUUCCCAUUUAAAAAUAAUUUCUUUUCUUUAAAAAAAAUCAACAUGCUUUUUUUAAAAAAAACAUACAUCUAUAUUUAAAAAUUUUUAAAAUUAAAUAUGCAUAGAUAAGCAAAUAAAUGACUUAACACAAAAAAAUAUAUAAAAAAAAUAAAAAAACCCAAAAAGAUUGGUCAAUGUCGGUCAACAGUCCAAGGAGCGAUUAAGUCGAUUUGGCCAAUUCAACACGGUUCAAGACUGUUUUCUAUAGUCUGGAGCAAUUUUUUGCCAGUUUAAUGACAGUUUGGGUAGUUCAAAUUGGCUCGGACUAGUCAAGUGGGUUUGACUCGAGUCAGAACCUAGCUGGUUUCAAUCAAGUCAAUCAUGUGGAUCAAAUCCAGUUCAGUUUACUGGUUCGGGUCUAACUUGAUUUUCUUAUAAAACCAACAUUUUUUUUUUCAAAUUCAUUUCAACUUCUCAUGAAAAAAAUCCAAACUUUCUCUCUACACUUAAAAAAUAGAAUCCAACCGUUGCUUUUGAAUCCAUAUUUUGAUCACUAGCCACAACGUUGGCCGUCGUUUACUGCUAGUGACAAUGCUAAAUACUUCCAAAAUGUGUCCACCGACUCUUUUUUUUAUCGUCUUUCCCUUUUUUAACUUGGAUUUUUCAGAAACUUUCUGAGUCGUGGCUGUCAAGUCUCAAAAGAUUGGCCACCGUCAUUCCAAACCAAUCUUCCUCCUAGUAUGUUUUUCUACUACCCAAUACCUUAUUCCUCAACAAAAAUUACCCCUGAAACUACCCACAACUCCUUCAAGCCGAAACUUCCCUUUUUGUGCUUUGAUACUUUUUUUUUUUUGUUUUCUUUGUGCUGAUGUUCCCCACCAGAGGAUGUGUGAUGAUAUUUUUAUGUUUUGCUGUUUUUAUCCUUUUGGAGGGUUGUUGGUCUAGCUAGUUUAUGUUUUAUAUAUAUAUUUUGGGUUUCUAUGGAUGUGGGAUAGAUCUCGGUUUAAAUUAGUUUUGGGUAGUGAAGGUCGAUGGUUUAAGGGUCUGUUUGGUGUUUGGUGUUAUGGUUCGACCUAUAAUGGGGCUUUAGAGGGGUGAUCCACUUGAUUGAGGGACUAUGUUUUAGAGUCUAAAGGAAGGUAGUUUAAUGGUGGUGAUGAGGGUUUUGGGUUUGGGUUUAACCAUUAUAACUAAUUAGGAUUUCAAAUCCUAGAUUUUCAGGGUUUGGGAAGGUUUCAAGGUAUCACAAGUGGCAGGAAAAUUUGUCAAAUUUUCUGCUACAAGGGAUGGCUUUAUAGGGUUUUGUCAUUGUCAUUAGGUUUUUAAAACAAUUCCAGUCCUAUUAUCAAUUUUUUGAAGUUUUAGCAUUCCCAUUUUAGGUUUUGGCAAAAUUGCUUGACAGGGAGGGAUUGAUUACCAUAACUAGAAGAGGUUGGGCAGUAGUAGGGUGGCUAGAUAAAUGGAUAGAGGAGGCUAAGAGCUGAUAGAGGAUAAUUGGUAGGGUGGCUAGCUGAUGGUUGUGUAGCUUGUAAGGGGUGCCUUGCGUGUCACCUAUUGCUAGUUUCACAGACUUUUAUUUAUUUUUUGAUUUUUUUCUUUAAUUUUUCAUAUUUUUUAUUUUGUUAACUAUUAAAAUUUAAUUAAUUAUAAAAAAACAACUUUGGGCUUUAAAUAUGAAAAAUAGACCUUCAACUUUUAAACCUAACUGAUUUAGGCCUUAGGAUUUUAAGCCCUAAUUACUUAUGCAAAUUAUGAUGGGCUUUGGCUCAAUAUCUUGGACUUAAUUUUAAUUUUAAUUUCAAACCUUUUUAACUUGAUUGCAUUUCGAAGUCAAUCUUGAAGUCUUUAUCGAUAAUUCAUAACUCAAAAAUCAAUGUUAAAUCGACCUAGUGGAAAUUGUAAUAUAAGUUUGAAAGCAAAAUUAAUAUAGAACAUGAUAUCAUUAACCUAGACAAAAUUGGUAUUUACAACUAUCCUUCUUUGCAAAUUAUUAAGAAUCAAGAAUAAGACAAAGAUAUAGAUAAAAAUUUUAUCUAGGCCCAUCGAUCCAAACAUUUUUUUUAAAAUUUUUUUUCAUUGUUUAUCUUUGUUCUAUUUUGUUUUCUUUUGUUUUUUGUUUUUUGUUUUUUUUUUGCUUCCUCAUUAGAGGCUCGACAAGUUUAAACAUCGAACUAAAAGGCUCUUCUCAGUAAAGGCUUAAUAACUUUAAAAAUCAAACUGAAAGGUUCCCUUCUUUAGAGGUUUGACAACUUUAAAAAUUAAAUUAAAAGGCUCUUUUCAGUAUAUGCAUGAUAACUUUAAAAAUCAAAAUAAAAUGCUUCUUUCAUUAAAGACUCGAUUACUUUAAAAAUCAAACUGAAGGGUUUUUCUUAUUAGAGGCUCGGAACUUAAAAAAAUUAAAUUGAAAUGACACGAAGAUUAUACUCAAAGGUUUUAUAAAUCAUAACACUUGAAUAGAUUCAGCUUGAAAAACUUACGAAUCUUGCUUGGAGACCUAGAGACUAUGCUUGGAGGUCUUACAAGUCUUGAUACUAAUAAAUGCUCCUUUAAACAUAGGCUAAGAAACUUUAAAAAUCUCAUUAAGAAAAUAUUCUUCUAAUUAGAGGCAAUGAAACUUUAAAAAUCUUAUCUGAAAAAAACUCAUCUAAUUAGAGGCAAUAAAAUUUUAAAAAUCUCAUAGGGAAAAAUAUAAUCUAAUUAAAGACAUUGAAAUUUUAAAAAUCUCAUUUUGUGCCAACUUAACUGGGUUUAAAACUUUGUGCCAGUUAGAUUGGUCUUAACUAUUCUAACUGAUGCCAUAGUCUUGAAUUCUUAGUUGGUGCCAUGGGCUUGAAUUCUCAUCUUGAAAUUCCCAAAAAAUUUUCAACAUUUUUCCUUUUUUAAUAAAAACUUUCCUUGUUUUUUUUGUUUUCCAAAUACCAUAUACCCUUUCCAAACUUCUUAGAAACCUUUUGUUUUCCACAAAACUCUCUUCUUUCUCUUCUUUUAUCUUAUUUUUUGACAAACCCUUUUUCUUUCAAUAUUUAAAAAAUCAACAAACACCAUUAUAAUGCAAAAUGUUUUUUCUAAAAAUGAUGGUGCAAAUGUAACAGUUCUUCUACAAAAAUGGUUACUAACAAUGCAAAUGCAAGUGUUUUUCCCAUGAUACAAAUGCCCCAUGCAAAUAACUAUGCAAAUGCCUUUUACAAAGAUAUAAAAGCAAAAAUGCAAUGUAGAUGCAUGUGAAUGCUAAAUUUUCCUUUGAAAACAAUUCUUUUCUUAAAAAUUUGUAGAUGAAAAAAAAAAAAACUUACAGAUUUUUAUCUAAAAUCAAAUAUUCUCAUUUGAAAAGAUUCACAUCAAAAAAUCAAAUAUUCUUAUUUGAAAAAUUUAGAGAUUUACAUAUAAAAAUAGAAUAUUCUCACUUAAAAAAUUCAAAUAUUCACAUAUAAAAAAUCGAAGAUUCUCAUUUGAAAAAAUUUAGAUAUUCAUAUAUAAUUUGAAAAAACUCAGAGAUUCAUAUCUAAAAAAUGAAGAUUUUCAUUUGAAGAAUUCAAAGAUUCACAUCUAAAAAUCAAAUAUUCGCGUCUGAAAAAUUCAAAGAUUCACAUUUAAAAAUCUAAGAUUCUCAUUUGAAAAUUUCAUAUCUAAAAAUGAAAGAUUCUUAUUUGAAAAUUUCACAUCUAAAAUCAAAUAUUCAUAUUUGAAAACUUCAAAGAUUCACAUUUAAAAAUCAAAUAUUCUCAUUUGAAAAAUUAUAGAUUCACACAUAAAAAUCAAAGAUUCUCAUCUAGAAAUCAAAUAUUCUCAUUUUGAGGGUUUUGAGAUUCAUAUUAGGAUUUGCAAAAGCUCACAAAAUGAUACGAAUACAUGAAUUGAAAUGAUGCAGAUGCAUUCCUAAUUAUACAAACACAAAUAUCCUUACCAAUGACGAAAAUAUAAAUAUUUUUUUUUAUGAUGCAAGUACCUUUUUGCGAAUGCAAGUGCAAAAUUCUUUACCUUGGAUAAAAUGCUUAAAAAAAUCAUUCUUUUUUUUCACAAAACUAUUUUCUUUUUAAUUUCAAAUUGUUUGAUUAUUUCUUUUUCCUUAAAUCAGCUUUUUUUCGACAACUGUCGUUUAUUAUUAUGGAUGAAAAAGGUGAUAAUUUUUCUUUUUCAAACAAAUUGAAUGAUUUAUCACAUCAAAAUUUUUGUUCACAAAGGAAUGCCUCACAACUUUGAUAAGAAAAAUGAAUGAUCUUUCAUCUAGGCUUAUGAAUGAAACACUAAUUUUUUAAAUCUAUGAAUUCCUCAAAAAUAAAAAAUUUUGAAUCAUUCUGAGAUGCAAUCAAACUUUAACAUUCUUUUAGUUUCCAAGUUUGGCAUUUUGGUAAAUGUCAAGGCUAGUUAUAGUAGGCUCAAAAUUUUAGAAGGUUAUUGAGGAAUGGAAAAAAAAGGCUAAAAUUUUGAAAAUGGAUUUUAAACUUUCAUGACAUCGACAUUCUUAGAUCUUUCAAAAGCUUUGGCUUUUUCAUUAGGCAUCAAAAUUGGCUUCAGAGUUUCAAAUUUGCUUUGAACUGUCCCUUUUUGGGUUUUCACCUACAAGAUUCACUCUUCAUUAUUUUUUUUCUUUUUUCUUUCUUCUCGCUUGUUCCAUCAUUCACUUAUUCAAAAUUCAUCCAAAUUGGAUUAAUGACUCAAAAAGAUAAUUUUCAUAAAGAGAUAGGCAAAAACUUCGUAGGUUAUGAUGACUUUUCAAGGAAAAUACUCUUCAAUUUAAGUAUUUAUGUUUGAUCAAAAUAGACUUUUCACAGCUUGUAACAUAGGCCAAGAUUGGAGGUUUUGAAAAAAAAAAAAGGAUAGAUAAGCCUAAAGCAUGUGUUUUAAAGUUGAUAAAACCAAAAACCAUUUCUUAUAGAGGGUUUUUUUAGUGGACAUUUGUCAUUCUCUUCUUAAUUAUUGCCAUUCCAUCACAUUAUUCAUUUCUUUCUUUUUUUUUAUUGUUUGCUUCUUUAUUUUUUUACUUUUUUUCCUUGCCUUUUUUUUUUCUACUUUUAUUUGCACAUUUCCACUUCUAAUGAUGUGAAUUUAAAACGUUUUGGAAACUCAUUUUCUUGGAUACUUGUCCCUCAACAUAUAGGGUUUUUUUUUAGACUUAGGACUUCAGCAUACAUGAUUCUUGAAUAUGCCCCAUUUUGCCUCUCUAAUGUGGAAAGUGAUCAUUGGACAAAGUUCAUUUAGAAAGAAUCCAUCAAGCCUAAAGGGGUUGCAAGUGAAUAAUUUUUAAUGUUUGUAAAGGGAUAAUGAAAGAUGACCAUUUGUCAUCUCAAGCACAGUCGCUUAAUUUGAAGAGUAGUUUCUUUUAAGAAAAUGAAUUUAAAGAAAUUUUUUUUUUUUGGAUUUUUAGGUUUUCUCAACUUUCACUUUUAGUUUUUUCAUUUUAAGCUUCUUGGUUUUUUUCACAAAAUUUUUAGCUUCCUUUCUUCUUUUUUUUUUUAAUUUUUAUUUUGAUUUUUCAAGCCUUUGUUUUAAUUUAUUAGAAUUUCUUAAAUGCAUGAUAUCAAAACCAUAUUUUAUUUUUUUUCCAUUUUUUUUGUUUUCACAUGUCUCCCAUAACUCAUAAUCAACUUAUAAGAGAUAUCCCAAUUUAACAUACCAUUUCAAAUGAAAACCCAUACGAUAAUGAUAAUCACUUUGAUGAACUCACUUAGGGGCUCAAAUUUUUCAUGUCAUUGGAUCAAAAGGAAGGGUUAUGGCAUAAAUUAAUCAAGUAAGGGCAAUGAGUUAAUUUUGCUUUUUGGGUCCAUGUGCCUCAAUAUGGAACAAGAUAGGGUGAGAUUAGGGCCUUCAUGUCUUGAUAAAUUUAAGGUUAUAGCAUAGUCUUGACACAUCAAAUUACUAAUAUUUAGAUUCUUUAAAAAAAUUUCAUACUUGUCCGCUUUUCUAGAAUCCCAAAAAAGUAUUUUUUUUUUUAAAUUCAUUGUCUCAUUGUUCAUUUCUUAAUAAAAGAUUAUCACCUUUUUAUAUCAUAAUAUGAUCAAAUGAAGACAAGGUUCAAAAAUUUAAAUUCAUGCCCCUUAAAAGGUUAUGGUUGAUGAGUCAAAUUAUUUGAGUGGUUUAGGACAUGAGAGUAAAAAAAGGUGAAUGUAUUAGAUCAGUUCAUUUCUAAUAGUAAUCACCAAUUCCUUCAAUACCUUUAUUGCUUUUUGUACAUAAACAUGAAUUUCUCUUCUCUUUUUGAAAAUGCCUAUUUUUUCAAAAAGUACUUUGCUUUUUUUUUUUAUCCUAAUUUUCCUUUAUCGUUUUAAAAAAUGCUUAUAUGUAUAAAACAAUAUUUACAAAUCCAAUCUAACCAGUCAAUAUAUUAUCAUUUAUAAAGUCCAAAAAUUAAAAGUCAUUCCUUUUGAAGAAAUAACAAUCCACUUUCAAGAAUUUUCAAGACAAAAUUAUGUACAAAGCUAAAGAGACCAAAGAUCAUCUAUGAUAAACAAAUAAGCCUUUUAUGUCCACAAUGGUAUUUUUUAUGUUGGACUUAUUCACUUCAGGGUACUCAAUCCUCUCACAUAUUCAACUUUUUGAAACUCUUGCCAAACUUAAAUGAAAAAGAAGUAAAUUGGAAGAUAAUUUGGGUUUAAUCAAAAUUUCCAUUGUCAUGAUCUUUUCUUCCAAGAACUUUAAGAUUUUUUUUUUGUUUUCACCAAUGGAGAACACUCUUUAUUCAUCAAAUGAUGGAAUGUCAUGAGAGAAUAAUUAAACGAAUGAGUGAAUGGCAUGAUAUUUUCAUGAUGAAUUUAUGAAAGUAUGUGCAAUAAAUAUGAUGCAUACUUUCCCAAAAUGCAAUGCAUGUACCAUUCAAAUUUGAUAAGAAUCAUAUUGUUUAUCCAUGUAUGUAUACAAAAUAACAAGAUAUAUUUACAUGAAAUGAAGAGUAUUUACAAUGCAAGUAUAAUGGAAAUCGCAUCAUUUUUUAAUACAUAUGCAUGAAAUGUAAAGUCCUAGUGUAUGAAUAAUGAGACACAUUUAUGUGAAAUGCAGGAUAUGUACAAUAAAAACUAUAUGAAUGUAUAUGCAUGGAAUGCAAUGUCCUAUUUGAUAAGAGAUGAUGUGUUUACAUUAAAUGCAAUAUAGGCAUAAUGCAACUUCUAAUAAAAUCAUAUCGUUUGUAAGUCUAAAUUCAAGAAACACAAUUAUAUGCUAUGAAAUGUGAUGACAUAUUAUAUGCAUGAAAAGAUAUGUUUACAUAAAAUACAGUGAUGUAUUAUGCAAAUUUAAUAUAAUUGACAAUACCAUUCAAAUGUGCAUAUAAUGAAAUGUAUGUACAACCUUAUUAUUUUCAAAUACAAAAAAUAAUGAAAAUGACCAUAAAAAGGAUCAAAUAAUAUGCAAGGAGUAAAAUGACACACAAAAUUGAAAAUGUUUUUUCUUUUAUCUUUUUCAUAGAAAGAAAUGAAAAUUCAAGAAAACAUUUCUUAUAAAAAAAAAAAAAGCUCAUAAAAUGAUAGCAUUCAAACCUUUUUCUCUUUUUUUCACUUUUCUGCUUUCUAUUCAAUCAAGAAAUAAAGAAAUUAAAAAAAAAAAAACUUUUUUUUUUGAAAAUUUUGUUUUUGUUUUUUUUGUUGGAAAAUAUAACAAAAUAUUUUUUAAAAUUGUAAAAUUUUGACAAACACUAGACGAAUCGAAUUGUAUAUCAAAAGAAAAUUUAUUGAAAAAAUAAUUUUGUUUUAUUUUUUAAUUUUUCAAAAUUUUAGUUUUAUUUGCAUUAUUAUUCCUCCUAAUACAUAUUUUAUUAAAAUGUUCCUCAUGUGUCCUAAUUCGAGUAAUUUCUACAAAAAUAUUGGUACGACUGUACCUAAGGCUAGACCCUUAAAGUUCACUGUAUGCUUUGUUCAGAUUUAUACGUAUUUAAGAGGUUCCCAAAUUAUUCCUCAUUGGUAUCCCGGUGAGAUUAGUAAGGCAUUCAAAUCCUCACCUAUUAUAUGCUACAAACAAAAAUGGUUCAAUUUGAGUGAAAAUAUUUCGCUUGUUAUUGUGAAAGUUAUCAUCUCACGAGAGUAUAGAUACUUUACUUCCUCAUAAAAAAGAUAAAGCCCAGCUAUAGAACUCAUAAAUGAGAUUUAUGUGUCAUAUGUGAAUGAGGGCACGUGACAUCACAAACUUUAUUCUAAAUGUCUCACAAUUUAUUAAGAAUAAUAUAUACAAAAAAUAAAAUAAUAAAUGAAUAAAUACAUAAUUAAAAUAAAAUUCAUGUCAUCUUUUAUUAUUAUUAUUAUUGUUGUUUUAAAAAAAUCAAAAUUAAGGAAAUUAAAUUAAAUACCAAUUAAGACCAUUAAAUCAAAAUAAAGGAUAACACAUAAUUAAUUUUGGCAUGACUCUAAAAAAAUGCAUCCCUAAUGAAGUCACCAAAUUAUCAUAAUAAUUUUAAUAUCACUAGAUGAAUUUUAAAAACACAAGGAGUUGCUACUAAUCUUUUCUGACUAAGUUCUAUUAAUCAUUUAUUAAAACUUACCUUUUUUAAUAAAAUCUUAAAAUUAAUUAAAAUUUCUUAAAAAAUUAAUUUUUGGAUUUGCAAAAAUAGUUUAAGUUCAGAAGUACGGUUACGCAUAGAGAAGAAUUAACAUCCUUACAUCGCCCGUUUUAAAAAUGGUACCAAUUAAUUAUGAGUUAGUUUUUAAUCUUGUCAAAAGUGAUAUUAAUUUUGAUAUUUAAAAUUAAUUUCCUUAAAUCUCUUUUUAUUAUCAAAAUUUUGGUUUUUUUUUGUAUUUAUUGUGAUUUUUUAUUAGUUCAUUUUUUUUUACAAAAUUUACUCUCUUUUUUAUUUUUUAAAAUUAUUAUUGUUCGAUUUUAUUUUGAAAAAAUAAAUUAAAACCAUUGUUUUCAAAAAUCAUUUAAAAAUUUUUUAGUACGUUGAUAAUUAAAAAAAAAAAUUUCUCAUCUAGAUUUUUGUCUUUAUUUUCAAUCAUUUUUUUUUUUAUGUCUUGGAAUGGAUUCAUCAAAAUCCUUUUCAUCAAUAUAGUUUUUUUCUUGGUAUCUUUGAUUAAUUUAAUGUUUAUUUUUAUGAACCAAUGAAAUACUUGUAGUUUGAUGUUGUCCAUCAUUUUUUACAAAUAGGCGAAUUGGUAAUUUUGUAGGAAUCAUUGCAUGGAUUUCCUUAAAAUCUCAUACUUGGAGGUUCACAUCCAUUUUUUUCAUAAUUGAAUAAUAUUGAUGCAAAGAAAAUGAUGAAACAUAAUAUUUAUGCAUACAUGUAUACUUUUUAUUUUAUUUUAUUUUGUCUCAUUUUAUUUACUUUUUUUCAAAAACUAUUUGUCUUUUUUUUAAAAAAAAUUUGUUUAUUAAUUUUUCUCUUUUUCUUUUUUUUUCCACAUUUUAUACAUUUUUAAUGGAAGAAAAAGGAUUUUUUUUAUAUUGAAAUUUUUUUUUCAUAAAUACUCCAAUAUAAUGAUAGUAUUUAAAAAAAAAUUUCACCUAAAGAUUUCAUAGGAAUACUAUGCGGAUUCCUUUAAAAUCUCAUUAUCGUAAAAAUUCCCAUUUAAAAAUUUUUUCUUUUAAAAUUAAUGAAUGCUUUUUUUAAAAAACGUAUAUAUAUAUUUUAAAAUUUUUAAAAAUUAAAUAUGUAUAAAUAAGCAAAUAAAUAACUUAAGACAAUAUAUAUAAAUAACAAAAAUUACCCAAAAGGACUGGUUAACAUUGGUCAAUGGUCUAAGAAGCAGUUCAACCUAUUGAUAUGGUUCAAGGCUAUUUUCUACAAUCCGGAGCAGUUCUUUACUGGUUUAAUGGCAGUUUGAGUAGUUCAAACUAGUUUGGAGCACUUGAGGUGGGUUUGAUUCGGGUCAGAGCCUGGCUAGUGUCAAUCUGGUUAGCUGUGCUAAUUUGAUCUAGUUCGGUUUAUUGGUUUAGGCCUGACUCGAUAAUUUGAAAAAAACCAAUGUUUUUUUUCAAAUUCAUUUCAACCUUUUAUGAAAAAAAUCUAAACUUGCUAUCUAUUCUUCAAAAACAAAACCCAACCGUCGGAAUUGAACCUAGUUUCUAUCGCCAACUGUCAUCUGCCAUCGGUGAUCGAUCUCAAAAUACUUCCAAAAUUUAUCCAUCAACUCUUUUUUUUUUUUUGUCUUUUGUCCAUUUCUUAACUUAGAUAUUUCAAAAACUUUCUGGAUUUUUCUAGAUUUGAGUCAUAAAUAGUAGCUGUCAAGUACUUAAAAAUCGACCACCGCUGCUCCAAAUCGGUCCUUCUCCUAGUAUGUCCUUCUAUUACCCAAUACCUUCUUCUUUAACAAAAAUGAGGUUUGAAACCACCCAAAACUCUUCCAAGCUGAAGCUUCCCUUUUUGUGCUUUGAUAUAUAUAUUUUUUAUUUUCUUGACACUAAUGUUCCCUACUAGGGGAUAUGUGAUGAUAUUUUUUUGUGUUUUGUUGUUUUUGGCUUUUUGGAAAGUUGUUAGUCUUGGUAAUUUAGGCUUUUUCGUGUUUUUUUUUUUUUUUUUGGUUUCUAUGGUUGUGGGAUGGGUUUUAAUUUAAAAGGGUAUUGGGUAGUGAAAGCCGACAAUUGAAGGGUCUAUUUGGUGUUUGGGGUUGUGAUUUAACCUACAGUAGGCUUUAAGGGGUGAUCAUUUGACUGGAGGGUUAUGUUUUGGAGUCUAAGGAAAGACAGUUUAAUGGUGGUGGUGGGGGUUUUGGGGAUUUUUUUUAGCAAGAGGGUUGAAGGCAUUGAUGGGUUUUCAUGGGUGAAGUGGGGUUGUUUGGUUAGAAGUAGCCAGAGGUUUUACUUGUUGAAAUUGGCCUUUUCUACACUAUUUUUGGUCUAAACCUUUAUAGCCAAUUGGGAUUUCAAAUCCCAGAUUUUUAGGGGUUGGUGAGGUUUCAAGGUAUCAGCAGUGGCAGAAAAGCUUGCAAGAUUUUCUAUUGCAAUGGAUGGCUUUGUAGAGUCUUGUUAUUGUCAUUGGGUUUUCAAAACAAUUCUAGUGCUAUUACCGGUUUCUUUAAGUUUUACCAUUCCCAUUUUAGGUUUAGGCAAAAUUACUUGACAGGGAAGGAUUGAUUGUUACAACCAAAAGGCGUUGACAGUAGUAAGGUGGCUGGAUAAAUGUGUAGAAGAGGCUAGGAGCUGACAAAGGGUGUUUGAUAGGGUGGUUGGUCGACGACUGUUCAGCUUGUAGGCGGUGCCUUGAACAACACCUAUUGUCAGUUUCACAAACUCUUCUUUUUUUUAAUUUUUUGUUUUUUGACUUUUCUUUAAUUUUUUCAAAUUUUUUUAUUUCUUUAGUUAUUAAAAUUUAAUUAAUUAUAGAGAAAUAGCUUUAGGCCAUAAAUGUGAAAAUUGGAUCUUGGGCUUUUAAACGCAAUAAAUUUGGGCCUUAGGAUUUUAAACCCUAAUUACUUAUGCAAAUUGUAAUGGACUUUGAUCCAAUAUCUUUGGCUUAAUUUUAAUUUUGGAUCUUUCUACCUUGAUUGAACUUGAAAACAAGAACCUAAAAUUACUUAAAUCCACCCGAAUGUCAAAAUUGAAAAACCGGAAUGAAAAAUUAUUAAAAUUGAAAAUGACUCAAACAUGAAAUGACUUGAAUAAUCCGAUUCAAAGUAAUUCAAUCUAGGUCUAACUUGACUGGCUCAAUUGUCACUCGUACUAAAUCGAUAAAGAAAAAGCAAAAUAAUAGUUAAAUAAUAUUUUUAAUUAUGAAUAAUUGAUAAAGAAAAAGUAAUUUUAAUUUUAAUGGUUAUGGACUUAACUUUUUGUAAUCACUAAUACCACAAAAAAUUUUGAAUAAUGUCAUGGUAAAUUUUCCACAUGUUUUCUAUUAUGAAUAAUUGUCUUUGACUUUUUUUUUUUUAUAUGUAUACCUUUUGAUUUUAGACAUAACCAAAGCAUUCUUUAAAAAGAAGUUAUCUUGGUUUUAGUAUAACACAUGAUUUUCUUCAAUAUUUUUACACAUAAUAUAUGAUUUGAAAUUUACACAUAAUAUUUGCUAAUUACUAAUUUUUUAAUCAAAUAAAAAAGACGCCUAAUAAUCUUAGUUUUAUUCGUAGAAUACAAAAUUCACCACGUGGUUAAAAGUAGAAUAUAUUACCCUUGUGAUUAUUUCACUUUGCCCUCAUAAGAUGUUUACACAUCCAUUCCCCCUUAUAUCAUAUAACUCCAUUUGUGUUUUCGUACCUUACCUUAUUGAGAUUUUCUUCAUUUAUAAGCUCAUUAAAACUAUUUUAUUUUUUGUUGUCUAAUGAAAAAUGAAAAGCAAAAGAAUGAAAAUGAAUUGAAAAUAAAAAAACAAAUAAUAAAAAGCAAAAGUACUAAUCGUAUAAAGGCUAACUUAUUCAUCAAAAUUUUUUCUUAAAAUUUUUAUUUAACAAAUCUUUUUCUUUAUCAAGCAUAUUUAUUUACUAAAAAAACUUAAAUUACUCAAAAUUAUCUUCAAUCAAAUAAGCAAUUAUCAAUUUUUUUUAUUUCAAUCAUAGUUUCCAACAUAAAAUGCAUUUAGAAUCGGUCGAACUUAAUUGAUGAAGUCAGUUUAGAAAUGGUGGUUGAUUAGAUUUUAUUUAGAUGAAUGGUGAGGUGAGUUGUGGUAAAAUUAAAAAUAAUAAUAAUAAUUAUUAUAAUUGUAAUUGAUAAAAAAUAUAUUGUAGCUAUGAUUAAAAAAAUUAAUAAUAAAUUUAUGUUGGUUUAACAUCAUUAAAGUUAGUAUUUGAAUUUAAUUGAUAGUGAGAUGAGCUUAAUCACAUUACAUGAAAAAUAUAAUGAAAUCUAAAUGAAAAUUUAAUUAUGCAUCAUAACAGUUCAAAAUUAAAUUGGAUUUGAUUUAAUUUUUCAAACAAUAUAUAACUUGACUCAUUUAUUUUUAAGUAAGAAUGGUAACGAUUUAAAUUAAAUUAAAUUUUAUUUAAUUUAUUAAAUAAUAUGUAAUAUUAUAAAUUUAUAAAUUUUAAUUUUAAUUUAAAUUAAUUAUUUAAAAAAUCUAUUCAAAUUGAAUAUUGAUUCAAUUUAUUGUUUUUAAAAUUUUUUAUGUAUUAUUUUAAUAUAAUUUUUAAUAUAUUUAAAUAAAUUUAGAUACAAAAUAAUUAUUUUAUUUUAUAAAAUUUAAAUAUAUAAAAAGUAAUAAAAUUAUAUAAUUUAAUUCAAUUUAAUUUUUUAAUUUUUUAAUUUAAAAUUUAAUCUCAAUUUAAUAUAUAUUUAAUAUUUAAAUUAAAUUUGAAUGAAAUAAAAAAAAUCGAAUAAAAUCAAAUACUUCAAGGUCAUGUCAAGACCCCACACGUCCGAUUGUAGCUCAUUAUUUCACAAACAGGACAACGCAAAUGGCCAAGGCCUCGUUGGCCCCCACCCAUCUCUUUCCAUGCUUUUGAAUUUACCAUAAAAACGCGCAAAAUUUUUGUUUUUCCUUGUUCAAAUGUCAAGAAAACCUAUCAAUUUUACCAUUGUCCUGUAACAUCAAUAACAUCCCGACAAAAUGAGAAUAUAAUCUAACCGUCUUACCGUCCAUUCAUGUAUUUCCAUAAAAUAAAAUAUUAAUAAUUUAUGUAUAAAUUAUUUUUAUAUUUAUAUUAUAUUUAAUAUAAAAAUUAUAAAUCAUAAUUUUUGUUAAUAUAAAAAUUAUAUAUUAUAACUUAUAUAAAAGUAUAAAAUAUAAUUUUAUAAUUUUAUAAAAUUUAUAUAUAAUUUUUAUUCAAUUAAUUUAUAUCAUUUAUAUAUAUAUUUUGUAUAUUUUGUAUUGUAUCACUAAGGUUGAUAGCCCAAUUUAAAAUCGACGAGUUUCGAUUUGAUCCGAUUUUAUAAGAUCGAUUAAUUUUUUUUAAAUUAAGUUUCGAAUCGAGUUAGGUCGAAUAUUAUUAAAAAAAAAUUGAAGUCAGGUUAGAUUUGAGUUUUAGAUAAACUCGAUCCGAUAUUAUAUAAAAAAUUAUUUUUUAAUUUUUAAUUUAUAUAUAUUUAUAUAUUUAUAUUUAAAAAAUAAUAUUUUAUAUUUUAAAAAAUAAUAUUUUAUUAAUUUCGAAUAAAGUACAGUUCAUAUAAUAUCAAAUUCGCGUCGAAUUCAAAUAUAAAAAAAUAAAAAAAAUUUUGAAUCAGAUAUAAAUAUGAAUUUUAUAAUUCAGGACAGAGUAAAAAUUCUCCUCGACCUGAUUCAUUUGCCAACCCUAAAGUAUCACUCAUGCGGAUCACUGCAGCGUGUUUUUAUUUACAUUUGGUAACAAAUUAUAAUCCCACCGCAUUUUGCCAUUUUCCGUUGACAUGAACCAUAACAAUAAGAGCCAGACCAAUUUUAGAGCAUUCUGGCCUCUGCCCUCCACACGAGCACUCACCUCCCAUUAACCAUAGCCAUAUAAUCCAAGCAAUCACACCACUUUUUUCCAUGGCAGAAAGCAGCACCACUGCCGGUACCAGCAACUUCAAUAAUGGAUCACUUAUUGAUAACUUGGCUCCAGACGAUCUUUUUGCAAUCUUGCUUUUACUGCCUAUAGAGUCAAUUCUAUCUUUUGCCAUGACUUGUAAGAAAUUCAGGUUUCUGGCAAGUUCUAAUUCUCUGUGGGAGUCCAUAUGCAGGAGAGAUUGGGGAACUACUGCUGUAGAUGCCCUCAAGUCUUCUUGUCAUGGUGAUGAGGAUCAUCGGCUCCUUCCAUGGAUUAGGCUAUACAAGCAGGUCUCUCGGCUUGACUUGGUUUGUUGCUACAAGCUCUCUGACCCAGAUCCUGAUUUGAUGUUGCCAAGUCCCAGAGCCUCUCACUCUCUCAAUUUUGUGUCUGGUUGCCUGGUUUUGUUUGGUGGCGGCUGUGAAGGAGGUCAGUCACUUGUACAGAUAAUAUAUAGCUCUAUCUUUGCUUUUGCUUUAGCUUUGGUGCAUGUUUCCUACUAUGACAUAUCUCUUGUUUUCUUUGACGGGUUUCUGUUGUAAAAUGUGUAUGUGGUGCUUUGAUAUCAACUGGCCUAAGGUUCUUUUUAAGUUCUUAUUUGAUAAUAGUUAAGUACAUCUAUGUUAAACAGGCAGUGCCAGAUCAAUGAUUUUUUUUUUUUAAAUGUUCACUUAUAAUAUAUAUAUAUAUAUAUAUAUAUAUAUAAACUGUCCAUGAUUUAUCAAAUUUAUCAAUAGAAAUGGUGUACAAGUAAAAAUUUGGAGUGUUCAGGGAAAAUUUUUCUUGUUUUAAAUUUCCAAUCUUUGGGGUUGUCCAUGGACACCCUAUCUAUAGAUAUGGAUCGGCGAGGGAAAUAUUAAGUAACGCCUAGUGAAAGUGAUUAAGAUGAUAUUUAAGCAAAGAGAUUUGUAAUUAAUGUAUUAUUUCUUUUUGAAUUUAGAGAAAGACAAUCUGUAAGCACCAGUAACUGGAUCCGUUAAUUAAUCAGGUUAAAUUUUCAGUUUGGUAGUUUAUUAUUGAAUUCAAAGAUCUAUGUAGUUAGAAAGUCGAACACCGUGAUUAGAAUCUGUCUUAACUUUCGUAGGCAUUCUCUUUUAUCAUUUUGUUGGCACUAGGCUAAACAGGAAGCUUACUAAUACUAAAAGGACAGUUCUAUUGGAAUCUUCCAAGCAUUGAUGCCUGCAUCAAGUCUGGCUCUGUAGUUGUUAUUACUUGCUUUCUGUUACACAUUUUUUUUGCUUUCUUAAAGUUACUAUAAAGUAAAAGCAAAUGUUAGAGUGCAAAUUAUAAUUGGUUUGAAAUGAAUAAAUUGCUGAAAUGAAACACUAAUUGUUGCAUAUGAUAUCAUUCUACGUAAAGUCAUGCACUAAGUUAUCCAAACAGUAACUUAGCAUUUUUCUUUUCAUAAAACAUGGACAUCAUUACUGCAGGAGCACUGCAGUUGGUUCUGGUACUUGCAAAAGAUUGUACCAUAUACUACCAACUUUCUAGUGAUAAAUUUUUCCUGCAGUUUUGGGUGAUUUAAAUAGCUUUCCAGGAGCAAAAACUUCACUAGUCAGGAAUUAAAAAUUAGCCACAGCUCAUGAAUGUAACUUCACCAUAAUGUACUUUUAAUUGAUUCUAUUCUUUUCUGAAUGGUUUAUGUGUGCUCGAGUGUAACAGGCAAGAUAUCAUCCUGAAGGACUAACACGAAUUUUCACGAGCAGAGCGUAGCUAAUGUUGAAAACUAUAUAUAUAUAUAUAUAUAUAUAUAUAUAUAAGUUCUAGGCAAGCCUAGCCAUUCCCCAUUAUUGUACCAAAAUUUAUGGUAACAGUCAAGAAAAAUACCUAAUCCAUUUUUACACCAGUCACACAUUUUGUAGUUGAGGUGACAAACAUGGACCAAUGUGUAGCCAGUAUUAUAUGGUAAGAAUCUGAAUUCAAAGCAAACUAACUGCAAGAAAGAUCACUAUGAUACAUUUAUUUACAUGAUAAGCAAAUUCAAUGUUUGCCCAGGAAACCAGAGGAGAUUGACCAAUUACAUUCUUUUGUGUUGUAUGUGUGUAAAUUGCAUUAAUUCAUUUAUUGGAUAGGAGGUGGUUUCACAUGAUGUUUUAUACAUGAUGAGAACACAAACUACUGUAACCGUAAAAAUCUUAUGGCCACUUUGCUUAGGCCUGUUAUAGAUGGCUACUUUCUGCUGUAAUGGUAAAAAUCUUAGACUGACAAGUGCAGUAGCAUGAGUUCAAGUUGUAGAAGCAACCACUGUUUUUAGAUCUAGGCAUUUGAGUGACAGACCCGAAGUCAUUUUGACAAUUUAAAAAUUCCUAGAUGGACCAAUUAGGGUCUUCUUGAUUAUUAUGAAAUUGUAAGGUGGCAUGUGAACUUCCCAAAGAUGGCAUCGUUUCUGCCAAUUUCCUUGCUUCUAUCUAUGGAUGGCAAGGAGCAUACACUAAUUCGAGCAACAUAGGAGUUGUUGGAAGAAUAUCAUCACUCUUAAGUUUGAAUGAUACAAGAUUCAUGGUAUAAGAUUGCUAAAGUUAACAAAUAUGAGGAGCCCUCAGUGAACAAAACAUUUUGAACAAUCCGUUGUUUUACUUUGUUUUGGGAAGAUAGAAACCUUUCAUAUGUUGGAAAUGUAAUCUUUAGUGAAGCGCAGUUAUGGCCAGUGAUUUGGCAAAUAAUUAAGUAAAGAUUUACACAAUUAUCAUCCAACUGGUUUCGUAUUUAGUAACUAGUUAAAAUUUAGAAAUCUUCUUUGUAUAGUUAUCUCAUUGAUAUCAUAACUUUUCGGAGUGUUCUUUUCAUCAUAUUAGGACGCCAUCUUGAUGACACUUGGGCUGCAUACAUUGGUAAUAAUUCUCGGAGGAUGUUGAAGUGGCAGAAGAUUCAUUCAGGUAUCCCAAGUGGGAGAUUUGGGCAUACAUGUGUUGUCAUUGAAAAUUAUCUUGUUCUGUUUGGAGGAAUCAAUGACCGGGGGGAUCGUCACAGUGAUACAUGGGUGGGGCAAGUAGCAUUCCACGAGAGCCUUGGUAUCUCAUUGUCAUGGAGGCUGCUAGAUGUGGGGUCAAUAGCACCAACUCCUCGUGGAGCUCAUGCCGCAUGUUGCAUAAGCAACAGGAAGAUGGUCAUUCAUGGAGGAAUUGGUCCAGAUGGCGUCAGGUUGGGUGAUACAUGGGUUGUAGAACUCUCAGAAAAUCUUCGUUUUGGAACAUGGCAUGAGAUUGUGAUUCAUCCCUCACCUCCUGCUCGUUCAGGACAUUCAUUGACACGCAUAGCGGAAACACAAACAAUUCUAUUCGGUGGGAGAGGAUUGGGUUAUGAGGUGCUCAAUGAUGUCUGGCUCUUGGAUAUGUCUGAAGGUUAUUCGAAAUGGGCACAAAUAUUUUAUGAAUUGCAAAGCAUACCAGCAGGAGUUUCCCUCCCACGAGUUGGCCAUUCAGCUACAUUCAUCUUAGGAGGACGACUGCUAAUUCAUGGAGGAGAAGAUUCACAGAGGCACCGGAAGGAUGACUUUUGGAUAUUAGAUAUUAGUGCCAUAUCAUUAGAAAGAGUGCAGCCAGCUAGAUUGAGCUCAAAGAGAUUGUUGGCAAACAUGUGGAGGAGACUUAAAGCUAAGGGCUAUAAAUCCAAGUCCAGAUCAUUUCACCAAGCUUGCGUGGAUAACUCAGGGCGUUAUUUAUAUGUGUAUGGUGGAAUGGUGGAUGGAUUACCUCAGCCUGCAGAAGGAGCCGGGCUUAGGUUUGAUGGAGAUCUGUUUCUGGUGGAGCUGGUGCUUCAGCUGUAAAAAAAGAAGUUAGAGCCCUAUUGUAAAUAUUUCCAUCAAAGGUAUGGUACUGCACUGAAGUCUUGUACAUUCACCUUCUCAAUUAGCACCUCCCCUGUUAGUGUAUGUGUUUCAUGGACAUGGACAAAUAUUACGAAAUAAAAUACAUGUCCCAGACUUCCAGUGUGCUGUCCCCUGAUGGCUUCUUUACCAUGAAACAUGAAUCACUGGUUCAGGGCACCAAUGGUUUUAGAGUCGCAUAUAUAUUUGAUGAACUGUUUCUCAACACUUGGUUGGAGAGGAUCUCACUUACAGUUGUUACACUAAAAUUAACUGAUCAUAAUUCAAAAUUAUAUAAGAUUCAUCAAAAUUUUAUAUGAAGCCUAGAGGUAUAGCCAGGGCAGGUAGAUGUCUCGGUCCCUCAAAAAUUUUAACAAUCUUAUACAAGAGUGCCUGGCCCGACCUAUUACAAUGCUUGGCCACCUUUGCGCAUUGAAAUUAUUAUUUGGCUUCUCUUUUUCCCUAUAGCUGGUUUCGCUUUAGAUGAAACUUAUAUUAUAUAAUUUUUAUUAUAAUUAAAUAAUUAUAAAAUUAUAAUAAAAAAUUUAUAAGUGAAAUACACCGAAUUAUUAGUUGGUAUAUUCCUUCUAUCUAUUUUGCUAAUAUAAGGACUUACUGCGGUAAACUAGCCUUAUAAUAAUACUUCUUGCAAUAGGGUUGCUAUAACAAAUUUGGUCAUUAAUGGCAUAUAAAAUAAUAUCAUUAAAUAUUUAUUUUUUUAUCAUCAUAUAUAUUUCGUGACAAAAAAUUAAAUAUUACGAUGUUCGUCACGUUUAUACCGUCACUAAAAGUCUAAUGUCACAAUAACAAAUAUCAUCAUUUAUUAUGAAUUUACAGUGACAAUAAAAUCAAAUGUUACCUUAUAUUUUAUUUUUUUUGUGAUGUUAUCUUUCGUCAGCUAUGUAUAAAAAAAAUAUCAUUAAAUGCUAUAAUCGUCAUAAAUUAAAUGAUAAAAUCUGAUAUAUUAGUGACAAAAAUUAAAUUAUCAUAGUAUUUGUGACAUAAUUAUCAUCACUAAUGAUUGUAAGAUAAUAUCUACCAUGAUAAUAAAAUCAUACGUUAUCUUAUGCUUUAUUUUGUGUGAUAUUAGUUUUUAUCAGUUCUUUAUGAAAACAACAUCAUUAAAGGCUAUAAUCGUCAUAAAAUAAAUGAUAAAAUUUGAUAUAUUAGUGAUAAAAGAUAAAUUGUCAUAAUAUUGAUGACAUAGUUAUCAUCACCAAUAAUUAUAAAAUAAUGUUAAACAUGACAAUAAAAUUAAGCAUCACCUUUAGGGUUGGCAGCUCAACCCGCCUCCGGCGAGUUUCGACAAGACCCGAUCUCAUAGGAUCAAUUUUUUUUUUUAAAAAUCGAUUUUGAGUCAGGUCGAGUAAUUAUAGAAAAAAAUUGAGGUCAGGUCGGGGUCAAGUUUUAGGCAAACCUGACUCGACCUUACUCGAUAUAUAUAAAAUUUUUUAUAUAUAUUUAUAUAUUUAUUUAAUUUUAUAUUUAUUUUAAAAAUAAUAUUUUAUUAAUUUCAGGUCGGAUCGAAUCGGAUACGGUUUAUACAAUAUCAAGUAAAUUGAAUUCAGGUGUGAAAAAAAAAAUUUCUCAUGUUAGGUCGAGUUCAGGGCGAACAAAAAUCCUCUUUGACCUGACCCGUUGCCAUCCUUAGUCACCUUAUACUUUUUUUUUUUUUGUAACAUUAGUUUUCGUCAACUUUUUAUGAAAAAAAAAUCAUUGAAAUAUAUAAUCGUCACAAAGUAAAUAA
rnacentral:lncRNA from 1 species